rnacentral:lncRNA from 1 species
UUUUUUUUUUUUAUGUUUGUAAUUAUUAACAAUGAUGAUUAAAAAAGAAGUUUGGACAUAAUCAAAUCAAAAUGAAGAAUUUUUAUUAUUCUCGUUAUCUCAUCUUGUGAUAUUAAGCAGGUUGAGUGUUGUUCAAUGAUCGCUAGUCGAUAAGAAAAAACAAGUUCCGCAAUGAAUUAAUUUCUAUGUACUAUGAACAUCCUUUCUCUUUUGCAGUUGAUGAUCUUCAAUCUUGACUAAGCGAGCAGUCAUAUAUAUGAUUUUAAAUGUUAUGUAAAUAUCGAGUGGGUGAAUUUGAUGUUUUGUAUGAUAUUAUAGUUAGUAGAUGAUUGUAUCAAAUAUUUGUAAUUUAACAUUUUUUUAUUUAAAAAUAAAAUAUAAAAUAUAAAUUAAUUUAAUCUCAGUUGUUUGUUAUGUUUUUAAUUUAAUGAUUCUUAUAGUGAUUUUUGUGGAUUCAAAAAUUAUUGGGACUUUGAUGAUGUACAUUAUAUAAAAUUAGGGAAUUUCGCACGCGCUUCGCGGACGAGGACCCUCGUAAUUUUUUUUUACUUUUAUUAAUUUCGUUACAUUCAAAAAAUGGGAGAGAAUUAUAAAUUUUGGAUUCGGAUUGCGGCCCGCUAAAACUCUAAUUCAAAGCUAAUUUUUUUUUUGAAUUUUAAAACCCGUAAGAAAUUAAUCUAACAAAUUUAAUUUUUUGACUUUCCGAUAAGAUCAUAUUACUCCACGUAAAUUUGGGAGAUGAUUGUAAAAAGACUCACAGAACCAACGAAGAAACAGAAAGAAAAUGAUCUGGUAGAGCUAUGGCAAGUUGAAUUUGCUGCGUACUUGUGUCAAAACGCGUUACGGACGAAGUCUGCUCAUAAAAAUCUUCACCCAUCUCUGUCUCCCUCCACAACACAUCAAAUCUCUCUCUCUCUCUCUCUCUCUCUCUCUCAUAUCAAAAUGGGUGCAUCUUGGAGUAGCAGCAACACAAACAGAAGAAGAAAUCAAAACCACCCACCUUCUCUACUCCUCUCGUCUUCAUCGUCUUCAGCUCCCUCAUAUUCUUACCCACCAGCCCCUUAUGCUCCCCCACCCCCUCCCCCGCCGCCCUACCAUCCCCACCUNAAUUAUCAAUACCCUCAAAUGGGUCGCUCUGAUUUUGCUCAUCCUAAUCAGGGUUGGGUUGGAAUUAGGCCUGUGGCGCCUCCGCAUCAGCCCGCGGCAUUUGUAGAGGAGCAACAAGCUAAGAAGGUGAGGAAUGAUGUGAAUGUGCACAAGGAUAGUGUUAAGGUUGAGGUGGAUGAGAACAACCCUGAUCACCAUUUGGUUUCUUUUGUUUUCGAUGCUCUUUUCGAUGGGAGGUAAUGAUUUCGAUACAUUGAUGAUUUAGUUAUUGGUUUUAAUUUUAUUUAUGUUGUUAUUUGUAUAGCAUCAAAUUCAACUUGCUGAUAUUAUAUAUGGACAUAUAAUUGUUGAAAAUUUUUUAAUGUACGGAAUGUAUCUUCAGAAUGGUCAAGCUUUGAAAGAAAUUGUGACACGAGAUGAGUGAAAUCAAGUAACUAUAUAUAAACCCUUAACGAGAGCUAUUACAGUAGUGAAGUGUGGAUUAUAUUAGGGUCCAACCUUGUAUAUAUACAUAUCUGAUUUUGAAUAGUGAUUUGCUCGUGUAGCAUUUUUUCCCUAUCUUGGGAAAAUAUGUUAUAUAAUUUUGUUUGAUCAACGGGUGCCAAGUUUUUGAAUAAUGUAAAGCGAAUUCUGGUACCUACACUUUGUUUGUGGAAUUUCUUUUUCAACUAUAGGUAGGAUGAUUGUGUUUUGGUUUUUGGUUUGAAGCAGAAGUAAGAUUAAAUACAUGAUGAAUUUGAAGUCCAAGUCUGUCAUUUUUCAAGGUUCUUAGUUUUAAUGUGAAAUAGUUUGUUAUAAUGAUUAAAGGACCUCAUUAAUUUUUGAAUUAACUGUUUGUGGUUGUAAAAGGAAGCAGUUUCCAUUUGUAUAUUGUUUUAUCUAUGUUACAUAGGUUGUGCUCAAUUGGUAGAGUACAGUAGUCAGGUAUAGAAUCACUGACCACACCAUAACUGCUAGAGAAGUAUAAAUAUGCCGAAGAAGGAACUAUUUGGGUCAGAUUGGUGUAUAGUUUGUUUAAUAUUAGGACAAGGACCAUAUUAAUAAGACAAUACUAGAAAGAGGUAUUGUCGUAUCUGUAAUGUAGACUUUUGAUGCAGGAAGGAUUUAGAAAUGAUAAUUUAUGAUAAGAAAAAUGAUUGAAGGGUAUACUAGGCUGAUUCAAUCGGAUAAGAAUCACUACCCUAGUGGUAUUUCAACCACAUAAGGAAGAAAAAGUAUGGAGUGCGAUUCAUAAACAAAGAGGAGGCUCUAUUUAAUAAUUUAAAAUCUCAAUAACAAAGUCUUCUAUGGUUGUGGUAAUCACAUCAUUAUAUAGAGAAAAUUUAAUAAAAACAACCCAAUGGGUCAAGGCUUGUAAAGGUUUGGGCUUGAUACUUUAAGCAAUAUGUAAGCCAGAAAGAGAAUAAUCAACAGCCAAAGCCUGAUAGACAUGCCCAUUACAGGGCCUAAGAGAGGAUAACAACAAAAGCAAGGAGGCAACUGCCACCUUAGCUAGACACACUGCUACUAUAAUAAACCUAGUACAAGAAUAUUCUAAGGACGACAAGAAAAGAGAUGUACUCACCCUACUACUAUUCUGGUGGGCCUAACUAUCAAUACCCUGUAAUAGGUCACUCUGAUUUUGGUCAUCAGAAUCAUGGUUGAGUUGGAGUUAGGUCUGUGGUGCUUGCCCAUGAAUCCACAGCAUUUGUCGAGGAGCAACAAUCAGAGGUGAAGAAUGAUGUGAAUAUGCAUAAAGAUAAAGUUAGUUACAAGGUUGAGGUGGAUGAGCACAACCCUGAUCACCAUUUGGUCACUUCUGUGUUUAAUGUUUUUUCUUAUGGAAGGUAUUGAUUUUAAAACAUUGAUAUUGUAGUAUUUGGUUUCUAUGGCUUUAUAUAAUUUGUAAGUUUAGGGGGAGGGAGGGUAGGAUUGGACUGUAGAUGGAAUAGAUUUUGUCACCGCUCCAGCAUGCCUUGAUUCUCAACAUGUUAAAUAUUGUAAUUUACGUUAGUAACUGUAUCAUAUUCUGAGAAUAGUGAACCUUCGAAAGAGAUUAUGACACCAGCAGAGUAAAAUUAAGUAACUAUACCCUAUUUUAGAUGGUAAACCUUAGUGAGUUGUAAUUAUACACCAAUUUUAGUUACUAGCCCUGUUUUGGUUGGAUCAGUGGUUGCCAGGUGUAUGAUAAUAAGCUGAAAAAGUGGGUAUUAUCUAGUCUUUAUUUGAUGCAAGACUAGUUAUCGAAUCAAUGUGGAAAGCAUGACAUUACUGAUAGAGAAGAAUAAAUAUGCCAAAGAAAAGAACAUUUAGGGUCUGAUCGGUGUUUAGUUCGUUUAUUAUUAGAAUGAGGGCCGUACUGAUACAACCAAGAGACAUUAGUAAAUGUACAAAUUUGUUGCAGGAAGGAUUCGAGGACAAUGAUUUAUGAUAAAAGAACAUAAAUAGAUAGACUAGCGUAAUAAAAAUGCAUAAGGGAGAAAAACUGUGGAUCGCAACCCUCGAAGAAAGAGGGGAAUCCAUUCAAUAUUUUAAUCUCUUAACUGUUCAGUUUUCUAUGACAUGUGGGAAUUACAUCAUUAUAUAUAGAAAAGAAUAGAAUACCUAAUAAGAUAACCUAAUGAAACAAGGCCCCUAACAAGUGAGCUUAUUAUUGGUAAAACUGUAUAGAUAACCAACUAUCACCCGCAGAUGACUAUUGUAUAUAAUGAAAAAUCAUGUAAUAUUAAGUAUAAAUGUUCUUUCUCUUUUUCACUUCCAUACCCCGUCAAGUUGCUUGCUCAAAUAAAUAAACUAUAAGACGCAUUAUUACAAAGUUAACUACAAUUGUGUGCGGAGUGUGGUGCAUACUGUAUGGUAAUUGGCAAGUACAACUGUGGACUCUAGAUAUAUCUAAAUAAACUUUAAUCAUAUAAUAAAGAAUAUGCUUUUACUGAAUGUGACACCUAAAUAUAUACUCAUGCCUGCACCUGCACUCGAUAUGCCAUGUCUGUGAUUACUGUACUUUUUUCUUGUUAAUUUAUGGUAGACGGUUUUGUAAUUGAAGUUUUGGUUUCCGUUUUACCUUUAUUGAAUAACUAACUUAAGUGGAAAGCAUAAUAUCAAAGGAUACUGGUUCCGGUUGAUAUAUUGUGGUGGUAGCUUCUUUUCACUGUUACAAGUGUACAAGCUCUCUGAUAUAUUGUAUAGCACGAAUCAACUUAAUGGAUUUUUCUUGUCAAUGGUUAUUAACUAUGACUUGAAGGUCUGACCAAUUUGGUUUAAUCUAAGCAUAUUCCCAGAAGUCGAUUGUAAUGCUCACAGUUAACUUAAGUAAUUGAAAACAGUGACACACCAGCCCAAGCAACGAUUUAUAUAUAGAUACUAUGAAAUAAGAAGACUUAAGAACAAUUCGAGAGGUUCAUUCUCUCCACAAUCCACAAAACAACAAUUACAAGAUAGAUGAUAAAACCCUAGAUCCCCCUUCUCCUUCUUUUCUCCGCUCUUCUUUUCCUGUCUUUCCUUAACUACCCUUGCUGCCACUUUACUUAACUGCCCCGUUGACUAGCUGUGGAGUUACUUUCUUGCCCUUACUCUUUUUUCCCGCCUUGCAUAUUUGAUGAGUGUAUUCUUUGGUUCCAUUACAUUACCCCGGUCCCAAAGACUCACCUUGUCCUCAAGGUGAAACAAGGGAAACUGUUGCUGCAUCAACACCACAUCUUCCCAUGUCGCCUCAUCUACAGGUAGGUUCUUCCACUGUAUUAGUGCCUCCAAUUUCAUGUUUCCUUCUGCCUUGACCUUACGAACGUCCAGUACCGUUUCGGGUUCCACAACCAACUCCAUAUCUGCAGAAAGCUGAGUAGGGAUAGAGGCAAUCACAGGGGCACUGCCAAUGCUGCGUUUGAGUUGGGAGACAUGAAAGACAGGAUGGAUCAUACUAGAUGAAGGUAAGUCCAGCUUAUACGCAACUUUCCCCACCUUUUCCAGUAUCUGAUAUGGCCCAUAAAACCCGAGGAGAUAAUUUCUCAUAACGGCGCCUUGCCAAGGAAUGUUGGCGGUAUGGCUGUAAUUUCAAGUAAACCCAAUCCUCCACAUUAAACGAUUCCUCACGUCGUUUGCCAUCAGCUGCUGCUUUCAUUAAUUGUUGGGCACGUACCAAGUUGAACUGCAAGUCGGCCAACAUAGCAUCUCUAUCUAGCAACAGCUCUUCCACACUCUGCACUGGUGUUUGCCCAGACUUAAUUGGAACCAAGUGACGUGGGUCUCUCCCAUAAAGCACCUUGAACGGACUCAUCUUCGUGGAGCAAUGAGGGGAAGUAUUGUAGGAAAACUCCGCCCACCCCAACCACUUAGCCCACGACUUCGGAUUGUUUCCCACAAAGCACCUUAAGUAAGUUUCGAGAACCCUGUUAACAUUCUCGGUUUGCCCAUCUGUUUGUGGGUGGUACGCGGUGCUUCUCUUCAGAACCGUACCCUAGAGUUUAAACAGCUCCUUCCAGAACCCACUCAAGAAGAUUCGAUCCCUGUCCGAUACUAUGGACCCCGGAAACCCGUGUAAACGAACAACCCCUUGAAGGAACACCAUAGCCACUCCUCGAGCAUCAAAAGGAUGUCGCAGACCCAGAAAAUGCGCAUAUUUCGAGAGUCUAUCGACCACCACGAGAAUGGUGUUAAAACCACCCGACAGAGGUAACCCCUCAAUAAAAUUCAUAGAUAAGUCGUCCCAUAUCAUAGAUGGCACUGGCAACGGUUGAAGUAACCCUGUUGGAAGUUGCUGGGAUGACUUGUUUUGCUGGCACACAUGGCACUCGCGAACAUAAUCCCUCACUUGAUCACGCAUUCCCACCCAAUACCAAUCAACAGCCAUUCUUAAGUACGUCUUGACUUCACCAUUGUGACCACCAACUACGGAGUCAUGAUACUCACGAAGUAACACUGGAAUAACAGCAGACUUCCUUGGAAUAACAUGCCUGUUCUUGUACAACAACCUCCCUUCUUUCAAUCGAAACCCCCCAGCCACGGCUUCUCCAUUAGUCAAUCUCUGUUUGAUCAAUUGCAGGUCCUUAUCCCAUGAUAUUUCUGUAUUCAGCUGUUCCCAAUCCAUAUCAAUUGACGACACGAGUGUUUCCAGAGUGACCUCUCCAAUGGUUUUACGAGAUAAGGCAUCUGCCACCCGGUUGGCUGUGCCUGGCUUAUAUUGAACCUCAAAGUCAUAACAUAGCAGCUUCACAAUCCACUUCUGAUAGCUGCUGUUCACUUCUCUUUGCUGCAUCAAAUGUCGUAGGCUCUGCUGGUCAGACCUCACUAUAAAAUGCCUUCCCAUUAAGUAAUGCCGCCAUUUUUGAAUAGAGAGACAAAUAGCGAUCAACUCCUCAUACGUUGAUUUCAGCUGUGUCCUGGGACCUGGCAAUUUACUAAAGUAUGCUAUAGGUUGGUUCUGUUGCAUCAGGACCCCUCCAAUUCCAUACCCAGAUGCGUCAGUUUCCAAUACAAAUGUCUGCUCAAAAUUUGGAAGUCGCAGGACCGGGGCAUGGACCAUGGCCCUCUUCAGGGCCUCAAAAGCCGUGGUGGCUGCCUCAGACCACCCAAAGUUAUCACGUUUCAAUUGGUCCGUCAAGGGCUGAGCGAUUUGAGCGUAGGAAGCAACAAACUUCCUAUAGUAGCCUGUGAGCCCCAAAAAUCCCCGUAGCUCUCGUAAAUUCUGAGGCUGCGACCAUUCAGUGAUGGCUUUAAUCUUGUCAUCCUCUGCACCAACCCCGUCUCCACUGAUACCAUGCCCCAGAUAUCCAAUUUUUGACCGACCAAAUUCACACUUCUUGAGGUUCGCGUAAAGGUUGUGGUCUGAUAACGUUUGCAACACCAACCCGAGGUGCUCCUGGUGACUUUCCUCACUGCGACUAUACACCAGUAUAUCGUCAAAGAAGACGAGCACGAAUCUCCUUAAAUAAGAUCUGAAAAUAUCGUUUAUUAACGACUUAAACGUCGCUGGAGCAUUGGACAACCCGAAAGGCAUUACCAGAAAUUCGUAAUGCCCAUUAGGGGUGAGCAAAAAACCGAAUAAAACCGAAACCGAAUCCGAAACCGCUAAAAACCGUCAAAAACCGAACUGUAUAAAACCGAACCAAAAUCGAAACCGAAAAAUUAAAAACGGAAACCGAAACCGAUUGUGCGGUUCCAGUUAUAGCUAGGAACCGAUCCGAAAAAAACCGAACCGAUUUUUAAAUAAAUAAUAUUUAUAUAUACUCCCUCCGUCCCACCCAUUUCUUUACACUUUCCUUUUUGGGGUGUCCCACCCAAUUCUUUACAUUUCAAAACUUACCAAAAAUAGUCAAUGGGUCCCACCAAUUCUCCACUUUUCUUUCCAUUUCACACUACUUUUACUCCAUUAUCUUCUUUUUAUACAUUAAAAAUUAAUGGGUCCCACCACUUUACCCACUUUUCUUCCUCUUUUCCAUUACUUUAUACAUAUUCCUUAACCUCCGUGCCCAACCCAUUUGAUAAGAAAUGGGUGGGACGGAGGGAGUAUUAUUUAUAAUUUAUAUAAAAUUUUAAAAUUAUAAAUUACAUAUAUUUCAGAUAUUAAAAGUUAUAAUAUCAGAACUAACUCUAUAAAAAGGUAAUUACAGGGAACAACAUGCAUGAAAUAAUAACAACAGGCAGUUCAGAAAGUAAGCAGAAACGAGAGAAAUUGAAAUAACAAGAGCUGAUUAUAGUUUACCAAUUUGUAUGAUUAGUUAUAAGCGGGAACUUGUUGUUGAGUCUAUGUUAGAUUGUAAAUAUGUUCUGUGUUUGUUGAUUCAUCGAGCGGUAUGCAACUCGUUGGUGCCUGCUACUAUUGCCUCACCGCUGCAUUCUUUAACUAAAUUAAUGCCCUGUGCCUUGUGCUAUAGUGUAAUUUUGCAUUACACAUAUCUGGCACAAACUAACAUUGCGACUAAUCUUUUGACAUAAACUUUGUAAAAAGUUUUAACAUAGAAUUUUGAACUGAUGACUGGAGGUACUUAAGGAUUGCAGAGGAUAAAUUAAUGAGCCAGACCUGCAAUCUUUUGCCUUAGAAUCAUUAGCAGGCUAGCAGCUUAUGCUUUCUGUAAUUUCUUGCAGGAGUCUAUUACAUUUUAUAUUCCUACUAUAUAGAAAUCUUGUAUUUUUUAUAAUCGGUUCCUCGUAUUUUAAAUGAAGGAAGACUUUUAUUUCUAAUUCUUGUGUAUGCGGUUUUGUAACCGAAACCGAAGUAAUUGUAACCGAACCGAGAUAUUUAAAACCGAAACCGAUCCGAAACCGAACCGGCGGUUUCGGUUUUGAUUUCUAAAAACCGAGGGUAUGCGGUUCCGGUUGCGGUUUUACCUAAAAACCGCACCAAAACCGCACCCGCUCUCCCCUAAUGCCCAUCGUGGGUCCGAAACGCUGUCUUUGGUGUAUCCUCCGGUCGCAUCAAAAUCUGGUGAUAUCUUGCCUUUAAGUCUAGUUUGGAGAAAACCUUUAAGUCCAGUUUGGAACCGCCUCCUUGUUCAAUGCACGGUAGUCCACACAAAACCUCCAGGACCCGUCUUUCUUUUUGACCAGCAAUACGGGGCUCGAGAAAGCACUUGUUGAGGGUUUAAUAAUUCCAGCCUGCAACAUUUCUUUGAUUAAGCGCUCGAUUUCAUCCUUCUGUGAUUGGGGGUAACGAAAGGGACGAACUCCUAUCGGAUCCGUACCGUCCUUCAACGUUAUUGCAUGCUCAUGACCCCGUUGUGGUGGCAGUCCUUGGGGAUCAGAAAAUACUUGAGGGAAACUGUUGACAACUCCCUCAAGAAAACCCGGAACCUGUUUAACUUGCUCAUUUUGUUUUCCCCCUUGCUGCACCUCCAACUUACUACAUUCCACCCCAGACCCAUCACCCUGUUUCCGCAAGGAACGUAACAUUGCCUUGAGUGACACCUUGGCACGUACCAGAGUAGGAUCGCCCACCAAUGUAACCGGUGCCCCCUUCAUUUCGAAUUUUAUUACUUGUGUUUUCUAAUUAGUGAGGACCAUGCCCAAUGUUUCUAACCAUUGUACGCCGAGUAUCACAUCCGAGCUACCCAAUUCCAGGGGCAAAAAGUCUGCCUGAACCUCCACCCCUCCAUCCAGUUGCAAUAUCACAUCCUUACACAUUCCUUCCCCCUUAAUUGCGUCCCCAUUACCCAAAGACACGCCAAACGGACCUGUAGGUAAGACAGUGAUGUCUGCAGCCUUGAUCAAUCCCAGUGAUAAGAAGUUAUGGGUUGCCCCGGGGUCGAUUAAUACGAUCACUUCCUGAGAACCCAACCCACGUAGACGCAUAGUCUUAGGAUUAGACAGCCCCACAACCGAGUUUAAAGACACCUCGGACGCAAAUUCCCCCACAACGGUCUGGACAGUAUCAUUGUGCUCACUACCUUCUUCCUCACACUCCUCAUCAAUCAAUAUCACGCUCAGUUCUUUUUUCUUACACCUAUGCCCAGGCCCCUAUUUCUCAUCACAACGGUAACACUCCCCUCGAGCCCUCUUAGCCUGCAAUUCCUUAUCGGUAAGACGUCGCACUUCCUCCCCCCCUUUAGUGGAUUGGGCCAUGCCCUUGGAAGGAGAAACGGACGACUGAGACUCGGAUACAGAGCUAGCCCCACUCUUAUACUGUGUAGGAUUAAACAGGGAAGUAUGUGUAGAAAUGGCAGAAGUACCUUUGUUAGAAAACGAGUAAACACCAGUCUUAGGUGAGCUCACCCCCAUCUUCCGUCCUGUCAAGACACGUUGUUUCUCCUCCACUCGAACAGCCUAUUCCAUCGCUUGUUCGAGAGAUAGUGGUCCCAUCAGUCUCACCUCUGCCUUUAUUUCCUCCUUCAAUCCGUUCACAAAGUGUCCCAUUAAGAUGUCUUCUGAAAUCCUAUCCAAUGGAGCUGCGGUUUCAAUGAAUUUCCUCUGAUACUCAUCCACCGUACCCGUCUGGGUUGUAGCCAACCAUUGUUCGUAUAACGAACCCUCUCCAACUGCACGAAACUGUCUGAAGAUAAACAGUUUCAUAUCAUCCCAACGGCGAAUAGGGUGUCGUUUGUUCUCCCAUUGGUACCAUUUGAGAGCAUCACCUUCAAGGCCAACUGCCACCGCCUCCAAAAUCUCAGCCUCUGUCAAUCUGUAAAACCCAAAGUAACGCUCCACCCUCAAGAUCCACCCAUUAGGGUCACUCCCGUCAAAAAUAGGCAUGUCUAAUUUUCGGUAACGCCAGUGACUAGAGCUCCCACCAGCUCUGCCGCCAUGAAAACCCCCACCCCCGGGUGGUGGUCCGGGCACUCCCCCACCGAAAUUGGACCCCUCAAUCUCUGCCCCACCUCCAAAGAACACCAUUGAUCCUUUAGAUCCAGAACCCUCACGAGGCCCUUUGCCACUAGUCGGGUCAGGAACAGCGCCCUUGUUAAAAAUAUCUUUAAUCUCCGACUGGAACUUGAGUUGUUCAGUACGGAUGGUGUUGAUGAGGGAUUUCUGAUAUUCACGAUUGCGGUGAAGCCGUCCUUCCAUGGCACUCGUUAGGGUUUCAAACUCUGCCCCAACUUUCUGGGACGCCACCGUCUGGUGCUCCACCAACAUCGUCGUCAACGACGAACGCAUCACCUCCAUCCCCCGCUCCACCGCCUUCGAGACCAUCUCGACAAUCGAACUAUCUAGAUCGUUGAUUCUCUCCUCUAGCUGCUCCAAACGUUGUGUUAGAGUCGGCGGUCCCAUCGAUCGAGGCUCUGGUACCAAUUGUAAUGCUCACAGUUAACUUAAGUAAUUUAAAACAGUGACACACCAGCCCAAGCAACGAUUUAUAUAUAGAUACUAUGAAAUAAGAAGACUUGAGAACAAUUCGAGAGGUUCAUUCUCUCCACAAUCCACAAAACAACAAUUACAAGAUAGAUGAUAAAACCCUAAAUGCCCCUUCUCCUUCUUUUCUCCGCUCUUCUUUUCCUGUCUUUCCUUAACUGCCCUUGCUGCCACUUUACUUGACUGCCCCGUUGACCAGCUGUGGAGUUACUUUCUUGCCCUUACUCUGUUUUCCCCGCCUUGCAUAUUUGAUGAGUGUAUUCUUUGGUUCCAUUACAUCGAUGUGAUAGUACCAGAAUGUGGUAUAACUUCUUUGGUUAUUACUUUUUAACUAAUGCGAUUAUAGAAUCUGUAAAAAUUGAUUAGGUUUAAACCUGAAAAGAAAAGGUCAUUUUAUGGCAAUAGAGAUGGUAUAGGGUGACUGUCUCAAGAAAAUCACAAGACUUGCCGUCUUAUAUAGAAAAUUACAAGACUUGCCGUUUCAUUAAUAUCUACUGAUGACUUCUUUGUUUUAAAUUGUUUUCUGCAGUAUUACUAUUUUUUACUUUGCCAAGGAGGAACCUAAUUGCAAGGUUGUUCCAGUAUUUCCUGAAUCAUACAAGCCUGUGAAAGUACCUUUCCAAAAAGGAGCUGGCCAGAAAUUUCGCCAGCCUUCUGGAACAGGAAUUGAUUUGGGUUUCUUUGAGUUGGACGAUCUUUCAAAAUCAUCUGCAGGAGAUGUAUUUCCACUUGUUAUAUCUGCCGAAACGUGCUCACCUCUUGAUGAAAAUUCUGCCGAUCAUCCACCAAAUUCAUCCCCCCACAGGCAGAUUACCCAAGCCGUGCUGGAAAAGAAAGACACAGAUCCUUUCAGAGUGAAAGUCAUGAAGCAGAUAUUGUGGAUUGAUGAGGUUCGGUAUGAGCUACGUGAAAUCUAUGGAAUCGGAAACUCUGGGGAAGCCAUCAGCGACAAUGACUCUGGAAAAGAGUGUGUUAUCUGCAUGACUGAACCUAAGGACACCGCUGUGCUUCCAUGUCGACAUAUGGUUAGAUCCUAUCUAAAAUACUCCCUUUAUGUUUGUGUAAUUUUUAACUGCAAUAGUUCCAAGAGUAGCAGCAAUUGCAAAAAUUCCUGCAUGAUUGAAAUAUAGAAUUACAUUCAACAGUGGAGGAACUUGGUUUUUAAAUUUUAGGUAAUUGGGGAAAUGAUUAACAGAGUGCAUGCUUUUAAGAUUUGUAGCUCUUACACCGGGAUACUAUUAGAUUGGAUACACGAUUUCAGAUGAAUCAAAAUCCUGGUACACACUGUUUAAGUGGCACAAGUUUGCAUGAUAGUCAAUCUCUUUGACUAGUUCCACUUGAAAUAACCUUCAAUUUUUGUUGAUAAGUUGGUACAUAUUUACACAAAUUUUACAAUUUUUUUUACUUGAAUCAAGUUUUACAAUGUUUCACAUCUUUAGAUGGUGAUAAUAAAGAAGCAAAAAAGGGUCAGCAACUUUUGCCUACAUCAUCUUUCCCAUCUUGUACUUUGAUAAAAAUUAAGAGUAAAUUGCAAAACUCAUCUAAUUGGUUUAAGAACCUUUAACAUAAAUUAAAGUCCGCCACUUGUUGAACCCUUUUCAUCCAUUUUCGUCUAUUUUGACCUAUCACCAUGUUAAAUUAAAAGGCUAAAAUAGAUUUAAGAGCCUAUAACAUGUCAUUUUAGUUAAUUCUGAACUCUAUUUCAUCCUUCUAUUAUACUCGGUGAUAGGUCAAAAUAGAUAGAAAUUGGCGAAAAGGAUUCAGAAUGGGAUGUCAAAAUAUGUUAGAGGAUGCAUUGUGCAAUUAUCUAAAAUUUGGGAAAUAAAGUGCAAUUGGUUCCAACCAAAGAAAUGCGUUUUACAAUCAACUCGUAACUGAAUGCUAAAUUUGUGAAAUCUCAUUAUCUGUGUAUCAGGACACAGAAAGACUUUUAAUAAAAUGUAUUUUGAAUGCAAUCAUUUGGAAUAAAGCAAGUUUGAAGCGGAUUCUGAUUUUCACUUGGGCGUGAUUGUUUUUGUUGAUAUGUAGUUCUCUACCUUUUUAAAAGAAUUACAAUAUCUGUGAUCUUGAAUAAGUGAGAAUAACAUUUUUUCAGUAUCCUUGAUGCAAAUUCUGGCAAAGUUAAAUUGUACAUGUAAUAUGCAAAUAUCAAGCUCUCAUAUUCUCUAUGUAGUACCUCCUCUCUGAAUCUUAUUCCAUAUGACGUAAGUUGGUUAUUAUUGCCUGAGUACACAAUGUUCCAUGUUUCAGUGUUUGUGUAGUGAAUGUGCAAAAGCACUGAGGAUCCAAUCAAAUAAUUGCCCAAUAUGCCGUCAGCCCAUUGAGGAGCUCAUGGAGAUAAAGAUUAAUAGUACGGGUCUGUGAGAUUCUUUGGUUUUUAUUUUCUUCUAGUGAAGAGUACAGUUACGUCUUUGGAUGUGUGGAAUACCCUUGUAUAUGUAACUGUAAAUAAUCAUAUCAGCCUUGCCCGGCUUUGCUGUACCAUCUGGUAAAUAUUCGCUGAUGUUUAUGUUUAUGCGAAGGAAUGUGAGCGUCCCCUUUAAACUGAGAGUUUUUAUUUCAGAAUUCAGGAGCACAUUUUCUAGCUUUCUGAACGAUUUUUUUGUACUUAAAAUGUAAUCUUUCUUCUUCUUUUUUAAGCCUUUUUCUGUUCUGUGGCUUUCAUGUUCCAACUUAAUUAAAAUAAUUCUCAGCAAAUUUUUCAUAACCAAGCUAAUAAAGAUUUGUGGUUAUGAAUUUUUCCUCGCUUGAUUUGCUCUCAAGUACUUCUCACCUUGGGGAAAAAAUUUCAGGGCAUGAAUUAGAUUCACAGCCAGAGAAGGGUGGCAAAGAUGGCAUAUUUUGCCCUAGAACUAGAAGUCGGUAGAGCAAUAAGACUCCCAAACUAAGAGCAUCAUCAAACUAGUUGUGGGUUCCUGUACUCACAAGAGUUGCAGAGCUGUUGACAUUACUAUAGUGUUUUGGUUUUUGUAUCUGUGUAGCUUCACUCCAGAUGUUCUUCACCAUGUGUGUGUGGUGCUGCUGAGGUGCCAUUGCUUGCAGUUAAUAUUCGUCCUUCUGUUUUAAAUUGCCUUAACGUCAAUGUGUCAGAUUGUAGCAUAUAUUACAGUACCAUUUUCUGCUGCUCUUUGGAUGGGAAGUCUCCUUCCCAUCACUUUCAUCUCCAUAUCCGCUUGUGGCCAAUUCGCACCAGCUCCAGGCCACCGACAGCUUAUACCAGUCACGAAUUCUCGAGAUAAGUCAGAGUCGAAUCCAAGAACAACAGAGAAUAAAAAUGUUUAUAAUACGAACAUGACCUGUGACCCGAAAAAUAAUCUUGUGACCCCUGCAUACUUAAGUGGAGCAUGGUAUAGUCGUACUCAUUUCAAUAAAUUACUUGCUUACAGAUUCUAGCUAUCCCAGUAACAAAAGCUUACAACAUUGAGGAUUCAUUUGGUGGUGUCCAUCUAUAUACUGCCAGUUGUGUCUCUGUCAAACUUUUGUACACUUCCUUUCUUCUCAAUACUUAAUCAUGUGUGUUUGUAUAAUUCACGCAGUACUAUAACUUUAAAAAGACUCCAGAAGCAAAACAGUCAUACCAUAUAUACAUAAAUGACUUUUUACCUUGCUUUUCUUCUUGUUUCCAGUAAUAUCUUCUUCUCCCCUUCAUUUUUCAGAUUUUCAUCCCAAAAACAUGUGGUGCACUUGUCAUACUUUAAUCAUAAAUGGCAAUGCCCCUGCAUGAUUGCCUAAUGCUAAAUUUACUUCCAGAUGCACUGCAAACCUAAUGUAUCUCGGUGUGAACAUCGGAUCAAUGCAUGGUUCACCAAAAUUCGGCACCGUAAAAUUGAUUAAUCCCGAUUUCCGAUUUUUAUAACCGUGAUUGUCAGAAUUUGUCAGGUGCUUUACCCUUAAAUUAAAAAUAGAUUAGAAAGAGAGAAUGACAAAAUUGUCAUUUCCCUACCUAAUGAAUGGAGACUCAUGGGACCUCACACAUCCAUAAUUAGGGAGGAUGGGUUGGCACUUUUUUCAUUAUUCUUAAUAUACAUACUCUAUGAAGCUGAGUAGUUUGAAUAUUUAAAGUGUUUUGUGAGAUGAAAAUCGAGAAGAGUGAAGCACAAGGGUGUCAUUAAUCAUUAUGAGUUAUGCUUUUAAGAUGGAUAUUUUUUUAAUUCUCCUUGCGAAAGAAAAGCGUACAUUGCUCAAACUACAGUACCAGUGUGUUUAUCUCUAAAAAUGUUUCUUUCAUAUGUUAAACAUUCUUGUUUUUCGAUAAUGUGUAUGAUGAGGCUUCUGGAUUAGUUUGAUUCAGUGUGAAUAUGAUCCACUUGUCCUAAUCACCAUGACUUACUCAUGAGUGUUGAUAUAUCUAGUACCUGAAGCAUAAUUUAGGUCAGGUAAUUAUUAUAAGCUUGAAUUGUGUUGUCAAAACUUCUAAGCAUCGAUCAGCAGGAAUAGAAAGAUAUGAGCAUCUCCAGCAGUGUCUUAGUGUCUUCCUUAUAAAUAUUAUAAAAGAAUUGUGUUGUCAAAACUUCUAAGCAUCGAUCAGCAGGAAUAGAAAGAUAUGAGCAUCUCCAGCAGUGUCUUAGUGUCUUCCUUAUAAAUAUUAUAAAAUAUUGAAUCUUAGUGAUUUAGGACAAGAUUUUGUAUUUCAACUCCAACAAUGAUCCUUAAUCCUUAUGAUUCAUUCCUUAUUAUUAUUAUAAUAAUAAAUUUGGAAAGAGAUUGAUAAAAGAUGGAAGGAAGAGAGAGAAAAUAAGUUACAAUAAGAGAGAGAAAUGAUUUUUUUAUUAAAGAAAUCAAAUAAGGCAUGGCUAGUGGUGCCUCAUUAAUAAGGCAUGGAAGGAGGAUCCUAGUGAUUUAAGGCACCUCUAAAACACUGCUGGAGCACUAAUUUAUGUCACAUUCCUUAUAAUUAGACUUAGGACAUGAAAUAGGGAAGCUGCUGGGGUUGCUCUAAGGAUACUAACAUUUUUGCGAUUGAUUCAAACUAAAUUCUGAACUCACACCAUCGAGAAUGUCUUUCCAAUCUGAGCACAAUUCUCCAAAAUCUUAUGCAAACUCUGUUUUAAACAUAUCUAUGACUACCACCCGAUCUUUCUGAGACGAAUCCUAAUUCACCUCAUAACCUCCUUUUUACGCACAAUUCACUAAAAAUAAUUAUCAUUUUUUCUACAAUAUAUUUAAAAUUUAGGGUUCUGCAGUGAUUCUAUGGUUAUAUUUUAAAAAACGGUUUUCUCUUGAGCGCGAUCAUAUAUUUGUAAUAUUGAUACAACCUAAUUUAUCUAUUAUUAAUUUUUCAUUUCUCUUACUUCCAAUCUUACUCCAAUUCGUCCGCCUCAAAUAUAAGAACAAGAGUUUUAGUAGGAGUUUGCCGGGCGUCCAUAACUCCUUUAAAUUCUGACAGUCGUAAAGUUUCAUACAAUGAAACCCCAUUUGAAAGUAACCCCUUUGAUACAUUCAAAUGAAUUCAUACUCCUGCGGAAAUCUUCCCUAAGCUUCCUCCCUCACUGGUAGGAGUCGCAACGCUAUUAGCUGACAGCAGCACUAACAAUCAUAAUAAGAGCUUUCUCCGAAAAUACUAGACCUCGUUUACUAUAAAAAUCCAGAUUUUUUAAAAAUCCAGAUAAAAUCCAGAUUUUUUGAAUACUAGACUUGUUUUAGGCUUUCAGACCGGAUUUUUUUUUAGAGUUUUUCAGAUCGGAUUUUUCAGAUUUUUUUUCAAAUCAGAUCGGAUUGGAUUUCGGAUUUACUGGACAUCUCUAGCCUCCGUAAUGCACCCAAAUGAAGUCUUAGUUGCAUUUAAUUGCAUAGAAGCCUUCCUAAGCCUACAUCCGUAGGCCUGCAGUCCGUUUAGAGACAACCUUAGGAGUUCAAGUCUUUCGGGUCGAAACCUAAUAUCUUAUAUCAUAUAAUCCAAAUAAACUCAAAUUACAGGACAAUAUAAUAAGUUCAUGUGGAUUUUAUGACACAACAAAGUACGUAAUACAUGGUAUAUAAAAUAUUUCAAGGUCCAAUUCAAAUAUAUUGCAUCAAUCCGUAAAAAUUCCAAAAUAUAAAAAAUCGAUCCUAAUUCGUAAUUUUUCAAAGUCACGUUUGUGGUCAUGUAGAAUUUUAUCGAUCCUGGAAAGAGGGUAUAGCUUAAUUUCGGUUGGAUCGAAUGAAGCACAAUCGGGUUUGGAUGGAAUUUCAACGAUGAUUUCACUUGAUUAUAUAUUUAAUUAAUUGAUUUCUAUUUAUAUUAAAAUAAGUUUGAUAUUAUUAAAAUUUAAAUUAAGUUAUAAAUUUUAGAAUCAUAAUUAGAGAUGAAUAUUAAAAUUGAAAAUUUUAAUUUUAAUUUCAAUUUUCUUCUAUAUCGAACCGGAUCAAAAUUUUAUUGUGAUUGAAACAUACCGAAAAAUAAGUCGUCCAAUCUAAUCCUGAUUAAAAAAAAUCAAAAUUUUAAGAAGAUUAAAAUAUUUAGGGGUGCUUGGCCGGGGCUUUUAAGCCCGAAUUCCGGAUUUAUAAGUUAGAAAGACUUAUUCGUACUGUUUGUAUAAAAAGUUAAGAAGUACUUCAAAUAAGUUAGGAAUGCUACUUUUAUGUGGGUGUUUGGCAACCCAUCUUACGCCGGACUUCUCGGCUUAUAAGUUAGAAGCACUUAUUCGUACCGUUUGUGUAAAAAGUCAAGAAGCACUUAUAAAAAGCUAGGAAUACUAGCUUUUGUUUCAGGAAUUCUACUUAUUUCCCAAACACGUUAAUCACUUAUAAGUUUUAUCUUGCUUCUAACUUCUACUCCACUUAUUUAUUUUAAGCAAUAAGCACUUAAUUUAAACUCACCCAAACGGCCCCUAUAUUUGAUGCUUCAACUUCUUUUCGAAACACCUUAAUUACUUAUAAGUUUUAACUUGUUUUUAACUUUUAUUUCACUUUUCGCUCCAAGUAAAAAGUAUUUAUUUUAAUCCAACUCAAGGUUGAGCAUUCCAGUAUUUUCUUUUCUUGGCUGAGUGGUACUGUAUGUAUUGUGUUUAUGUUUGUCACAUUUUGCAGCAGUGUUAAUUAUGAGACGUUAAAAGUAGUAUAACAUACUCUGUAUUUUAUAAAAAAGGCCAAAACAAAGAAUGAGGUAACGCCUUAAACUCCUCUCACUCUGUCUGCUACUCUCUCUCUCUCUCUCUCUCUCUCUCUCAUGAAGCAGAAGCAGACACCCCAGAGAGGUUUUAAUGUCCCUUCCACCCUCUCUCUCAUUUUAUCUCCUCUUUCUUGUGAAACUCAUACCAUCUUCUCUCAUCCCAAACACACACAUAUAUAAGCUCACUUUGUUUCUAAUUCUUGUAAAGACUGCUCUUUUAAGCUUGACUCUGAUCUAUACCCAACAACUCCCCUUUCUCUGUCACAUUAUUCAACAAAAAUGAGUAAAGAAGAGUUCUUGAAGAUCCAGGUACUCAUUCACUCAUCUUAAUUACAUUCUUUUCAUGUUUGUUUAGAUUUUUACAAGCCCUUUGUUGUAUGUUUCGUGUUGUUUCAAUGGCUUUGCUUGUUACUAACUCAACUUCACUAGAAUGCAAUAUCUUUUGUUCUUUUUCUUUUUUGUCUGGUUUUUUUUAUUCAGGUUUGUGUAAUUUUUUUAUUGAUGAUUGUCAAUGGAUCUUGUUAAAGAAAGGAGCUUUUUUGAUUGUUGGUAUUAUCUAAUUUGACUGAUUUAAUUUAUAUGUGAUUUGGGUCUGUUCUUGCACAUGCAGACUUGUGUCCUCAAAGUUAACAUACACUGUGAUGGAUGUAAGCAUAAAGUCAAGAAAAUCUUGCAGAAAAUUGAAGGUAAUUAUAUGCUUAUCUAAUUUUUAAUUCCCUGGAAUCUUCAGUUUAUGAGUAUUGAUGCUCAUUUAUACUUGUACAAAUGUUUAGCAUGUAGAUUUUGUUGGACUGUUUAGAAUGAUUGGUGAAGCUAGAUUGAUUCUGAUUUGUGUGUUUGAACUUAUGCUCAAAUGUUCUGGUAUGAUAUGUGUAGUGAUGGUUUCUUUGGGUUCUGCUAGGUGUUUACAAAAUCUCGAUAGACUCGGAACAGGGGAAGGUUACUGUAUCUGGUAGUGUAGAUGCAGGAACACUGAUUAAGAAACUUACAAAGCAUGGAAAACAUGCUGAGCUGUGGGGUGCUCCAAAAGCCAAUAAUAAUAAUAACCAGCUGAAUAAUCAGAUGAAAGGUUUGCAAAUUGACCUUGGGAAAGGAGGAAAUAACAAGGGGCAACAGCCGCAGAAAGGUGGGAACAACCAGCAGGCUCAGAAGGGUGGGAACAACCAGCAGGCUCAGAAGGGUGGGAACAACCAGCAGGCUCAGAAGGGUGGGAAUAACCAGCAGGCUCAGAAAGGUGGACAACAGAUGCCUACACAAAUGCCUACUCAGCAACAACUGCAGCAGCUGCAGCAGAUGAAAGGGUUUCAAGAUAUGAAGCUGCCCCCUCAGUUUAAGGACAUGAAGAUGCCUGCUUCUUUUGGGAAGGAUCCGAACCAGAAGGCGAUGAAGUUUAAUUUGCCGGAGGAUGAUGAUUUUAGUGAUGAUUACGACGAUGAGGAUGAUUAUGAUGAUGAGGAUGAUUAUGAUGAUGAUGAUCUAGAUGAUCUAGAUGAUGAUUUGGAUGAUGCUCCUCCACUUAAUAAGAUGAAACCUAUGAUGAAUCAAGGUGGGGGUGGGCAGAUGCCUCCGAAUAUGAUGAUGAGCGGGAUGAAGCCUGGCCAGCUUCCGCCACACCUCAUGAAAGGUCCUCCUCCUGGUGGUAAUAACGGUGGAAAUGGUGGCGGAAAUGGCAAGAAAGGUGGUGGGGGAAAUAUUCCUGUUCAGAUGAAUGCUAAUGGUGGAAAGAAAGGUGGUGCUGGGGGCGGAAAUAAUGGAGGCAAUCAGAACGGAGGGGGUGGGCCACCCAAGAAUGGCAGCGGCAAGCCUAAUGGUGGUGGUGGAGGUGGGGGAGCAGGUGGUGGUCAAUUCAAGAAUGGCGGAGGAGGUGGUGGACCUCCUGGUGGUAACAAUAUGAAUGGCAAUGGAGAAAAAAAGGUUAUGAUGAAUCAGGGUGGUCAUGUUAUGCCUAACAUGAUGGGCAUGAGUGGUAGUGGUGGUAGUAGUUUAGGCCACAUUGGUGGUAUGCCUAUGGGUCAGAUGGGUCAAAUGGGUAACAUGCCUAUGGGCCAGAUGAGUAAUAUGCAAGCAGCAGCUGUUCAAGGCCUUCCUGCUGCGGCGAUGAAUGGUGGUGCUCCUGGCGGAUACUUCCCAGGUGCUGGUGGCCCUCAAGCAAUGGGCGGAAACCCCUACUACCAGCCACAAAUGGCAGCAAUGAUGUAUGCAAGGCCACCUCCGGCCGUGAACUACAUGCCCCCCCAUCCUUACUAUCCAUACCAUCCUCCCCCUUCUGAUCCCUACACCAACUACUUCAAUGAUGAAAACACUUCGAGCUGCAAUGUUAUGUGAGUUCAUCGCGACAAGUUCAUCCCCUGGGCCUAAAGGUUUCUAAUUUUGGACGGUCGACUAGUUGGUGCUUUGUUGAUUGCUAAGUUAUAAGUUUCAAUCCUGCUUGUCUUCAUAUAUACAUGAAAACUGGUUUUCAUUAUCCCUUUUCUGGCUCUGGCUCUAGUUUGCCUUUCUAUAUAUAAAACCCUGAUCCUUGUUAAGACAUUGUUACUCUGGAUGAAUAAUGAUAGUAGGGUACCUUAAAUAUAUUGAAAGCUCUAGGAGAAGCUGUGAGGUGGGGAUGAUGAUGAUGACUUGAUGAGUUUUUUCUUUUCCCUGAAUGCUUAUUGUGUUUGUAAAGAACGAACAGAUUGUGCAAACAAUAACAUUAAGAUGUUUGUAAAAGAAGAAAAAUCCACCAUCUCUAUGCCCCAUUGCCAUUCCCCUUUUCUUUUCAUCUUUGAAAUAUUGUGUUGCCAUUCCCCUUUUCUUUUCCUCUUUGUUCAUAUCUGAUAUUUGAUAUUGUGUUUGUUGUACUAAUUUUAUUUGUCAGAAAUAAAUGCUUAUUUCAUAAAAAAGUACAGUAUAUAAAAUUUUAUUUUUUCUUAAAAUAGAUCCUUUUUUUUGGAUAAAUAAUGUUAUCAAACUAUGGAAUUUUUUUAAAAAAAAUUCUUAAAUUUUGAAGAAAAAAAAAACUUUCCAAAGUGCCCAUUUAUUAUAAUCUAAUACAUGUAUUGUCACUUAUUUCUGAUUCUCCUGCCCUGCUAGAUUUGGGACUGCAAGUGAUGUAAUUGUUGUUGAAAAACUUUCGAGUGCUGCAAUUAACUUGCAUGAGUGAUGGAAUGAUACACAUGGGGAAGUGGGCCCAGAAUGAUGAUUUUUUAGUUGAAGAGGUAUUGAAAACAUCUGGGCCCACAAUAAGUUGGUGGGGAAGUGUGGGGUCCACUGUUUCCAUGUAUAUUCAAUAACUGUGUUAUUUAAGUUGGUUGAGUAACAUGAUGCUACAGAUUUACACGAGAAUGGGACGAGGACUAUAGGAGUAGAGAAUAUCUUUCACGAAUUUGCUAUCUCUAAUUCGGCAACAUAAGAAAAGUGAGCAAAUUUGUGACAGAGACAAGCUAACAACUUCUCUAUCUUGCAACAUCUAACGGCGUCCACACUACGAAUAUAUUUUCUGGUAUGCUUGUAAUCUACUAGUAAUAGAUGCUUUAAAACAUGGGUUUGUGCAGGAUGAACAUGGAUGAUUUUACGAAAUUUAUUUACUAUUUAUUUGAUAUAAAUUAAACAAAAUAUAUUAUCCUAAAUACUAGAAUUCAUAACCUUUCAUUUGAUUAUAUUAACAGCUAAGAAAAAUGUGUGAAACUCAAUGAAAAUAUUAACAGCUAAGAAAAAUGUGUGAAACUCAAUGAAAAAUACAGUUUACUCCUCGAAAGAAUAUUAGAGACAUCUAUUUGAUAUUUUUUAUGACUUAAGUGAUUCAAAUGAUACCAAAAAUUUCUCAGUGACCCACUUGAUAUUUUCUAGCGUAAUAAGUGAUCUAAUUGAUAAUUAACCCUACCCAUUAUAUUUUUUAGUUAAAGUGUUAAACUUCACCCUCGUAAUCCUUCAAAAAUUAUAUAUUAUAUUUUGAAAUUAAUUCUGAACACCCACAACACUGUAAAAAAAUUAAAAUAAUUUUUAAAUUAAAGUAUACUUUUAAAAAAAAUUAAUUUUUUUAUAUCGUUUGGGUGUUCAGAAAUAAUUUUAAAAUAUAAUAAAUAAUUUUUGAGGAUUCACAGAGGGUAAAGUAGCGGUUAGAAACUAAUAUACACAUUGUUACCUCUCAAACAGUUAAAGUUUACGGUAGAUUUGGACAGAUGAGUGACUAGGGGUUACAACUUGCACGCGAAUGUUAAAAUUUCACUAUAAUUCAUAAGAUUUCGAAACAUUAUGCUUAAAUUCUAAAAAUUCUAUGUCAAUUUUAAUAUAUUUUAUCAAGAAUCCGCAUAAAAUUAAAAUCGGAUACAAUAUAUUAAAAUCUACUUCCUCCGUCCCGAUUUAUAUAACCGGUUUACUGUUUACAUGUAUUCGAUGUGUUCCAGAAAUAUACUUUUAUAUAAUAUUUUUUCAUAAUUUUUAUUUUGCAUAAAAGUUUAAAGUUUAAAUUUUAAUACAAAAAAUAUUUAUCAAAAAUAUAUUAUGUAAAAGUAUCUCUUUUGUCUACCUAAAAAACGUGCAAAAAUGUGGAUCCAUUCUUCGAUAACUAUUCGCGGGUGGAUCCAAAGAAAUAAUCUAAUCUAAAUUAAAUUGUUUUCUCUAAUAUUUUGACAUGUUAAAAAAAUGGCCUUUGAUAUAUAAAAUCAAGUUGUUCUUCCACCGUCUCAAUCAUUUCGUUCUAUUUUGAGAUCCCAUCUAGUUAUAUACAUUUCAGAAAUUAUUGAAAAUAGUUAAUGAGUCUCAUUACUUUUCUAAUUUUCUUCUCUUUUGACAUCAAUUUUAUUUCACUAUCAUCAUUAUAUAUAUUAAAAUUCAAUGAGUCCCAUAAUUUUAUCAAUUAUUUUUUUCAUUUGUCACUGCCUUAUACAUAUUUCUUAAUCAUAUAAACAAACGAGGGAUGGGUAUAAUUUUUUAUUUCAGUAAAGAAACAAAGGGUCUCUUUCAAUCUAAACAAAUGGUACUAAAUAAUUGCAAUAGUUAAAAUUUUUCCCAUCUUUAAAAUCAAUUUUAUGAAGUUGAAGGUGGGUCUGAACUCUAAAGCACUUUGUACGAAUGUAUUCGUCCCUUAAUAAUUGGGAUUCAUGUUACCGUUCCGUGUGGUGCUCCACAGACAAGUGUGCCUUCACUUGCAUAAUUUAUAGUACCUUCGCUUUUCAGAAUCGUAUAUGUUCGUUGUUCAUACGUGUUUCGAGACUCCUAUUAUUAUAAUCUCAUAAUAUUUUUUAAUUUUUGUUUUGAAUAAAAAUUUAAACAUCAAAUUUUAUUUAGAGAAUAAUAAUUUUAAAAUAUAAUAUGAAAGUGAAACAAUACAAUCCUCCUCUUCUCUCUCUCAAAACCCUAGCCUCCCUAGCCUCCGUCAAAGAUUUUUGAAGGGGCUUCCAUCAGUUUUCACUGGUGGAAAGCCCCGAUUCCCUUUUUUUUCCUGUUUUCUUGUUUUGAAAUCUUAUUUCUCAUUCAAUAAGUUCCCAAUUUAUUUGGGUUUUGUUAGUCUCUCCUUCUUGUGAGAGUUGGUUUGUUUUGUGUUUGGUGUGUUUUGAUGUUUUUCAUGACCGAGGUUAUAGAUCGGCAUGAUUUUCAUGGGUUUGAUUCAGAUUUGAAGGUUAUCAUGGGAUCACAUCUAUGGUCGAUUGUUCAGAACACUCAGGUGAAAACCAAUCAGAUGGAAACAAGUGUGUAUAUUCAAAUCAUCUUCAAAUCGCUCAGUUGCCUCUCCAAGAAGGAAGGAUUCAACAGCGAUAUUUUUCAGCGUCUGUCCAAUUUCGAUUGUGUUUGUAGAUGCCGUAUGGCUUUUAAUUAAUGAAUUAAUUCCUUUUUAUCAAAAAAAGAAAGUGAAACAAUACUUUAAAAGAAUCUUAAGAAAAAUGUUUAAAAAGUAAUUUAUAAAAUUGAAUGAGACGGAGACUUUCAUGUCCAAAAGUAGCUGAAUUAACGUACAAUUGAUUGGUACUAUGAUAUCUUCGCUUACGCUUGUGAGAGAUCAUCUGACAUAAAAAUAAAUACAUUUGUAUCUGCACUGUGUAUUUAGAUCCUCACCUAAAUUUCUCUUAGUUCGGUUACAACAGUAUUUUUUGCUAUUGCUCGGUUAUAUUUAUAAACAGACCCUCACAGUUCUACUUAUACGCAAAACUGCAUGCGUAAAUCUAUGCAAUUUCUUUUAGGUGAUCAAAUUUACGUAAUCUAAAUAUAUUUAUUCUAUGUCUAAUAUAAUAAUUUUGAGCUAAUUAAUUAUAAAAAUCAUAUAUAAUCUUAUCUAUUACAUAUAUAUUUACAUAUUUUAGAAUUAUUGUUGACUAAGAGCAUCUCCAACCAUGAAGACCCCUUAGCUAAAAGGUGAUUUGUCAUGCUAAAAAUAAAAAAUUUACACUUCAAAAGUUCACACUCCAACCAUACUAACCUGUUGUCUAUAAAUUUAGCCAACCUCCUAUGGAUGGCUAAAUUUGUCGAACCCUAAACCCAACCCUAAACCCUAAACCCUAAACCCUAAACCUCUACAGGUCUGUAAGAAAUCUGUAGGAAGAUUGCACAUCAUUUAUUAACAUAUUGAACUGAUAUAUUCUAUUUUAACAAUCUAAAAUAUUAAUAACAUACUAUUUUUAAAUUAUAACCAAUCAAUAUACCCAAUACCAUUGAAGCGAAAUGUCUUAGAGGUUCAGCAAAUUUUACAUAACAUCUUACAGAUCUAAUUUAGCCAACGAUUAUAGCCAACACCGUUGGAGAUGCUCUAACACUGACACAUUUAUUAUGUAUUAAUGUCUAUUCAAUAAUAUUCCAUAUUAUAUUUGGUGUUGUUUGGUUUAUGAGUAUGGAUAUCAAGUAUUAGAUUUGUACAUUUCAAAAAUCAUAUUUGAUGUUUGGUUGGGGAAAAUGAAAUCUCAAAUCCAUAUCUUAAAUCAAGUGCGUAUGAGAGGGAGGUAUAAGAUUCAUUCAUUUUUAAUUUUUUUUGCCUCUAUUUAAGUAAGGAAAUAUUAAUCUUUAAUACGAAAUUAAAUUAAUGUUGCAGAAAUAUAUAACAAUAAUAAUUUUAUUAAUAUUUUUUAGUUAAUAUAAAUUAAUAACUUAUCUUUUAUAAAAAUUAUAUAUAUAUUAUUUCCGGCACUCAACCAACCUUAAUUCAUUUGUAAUUCAUUAGAAAGUAAUUUGUAUAAAUCCGGAAAAGAAGAUACUCCCUCCGUCCCUAAAUACUUUUCUCAUUUGUACUUUUCACGUUUGCCAACACACACUUUUAAUCAAUAAUAUCUUUAGUUUUGUAUUAGUAUUAAAUAAAAAAAAUUCACUGUAUUAAAGUACUCAUAAAUACGAAUCCAACAAGAUCACUCAUGACUAUAUUUUAUCUUAUAGAUUAGACGUAAAUUAGUAAUUUGUCUCAUGUUAUGAACAGUGCCGACAUUUCAAACGAGAAACGUUUUUAGAGACGGAGGGAGUAAUAUAAUUCACCAGAAAACAAAAAGUUUGCGAAAACAAAGGACAGUGUUGAUAUGACAGGACCGAAUAAGCCCUCAUCAUUUAUUUUUUCACUUUUGUGUCGCUUCUCACUUUAUGGUUCGGCGGCCUCCCUAGAACUCAAAAAGGGUCAAACUUCAAUUCAACCCGUCAUUUCAACUCCAAACAUCUUCCUGCUAAUUUUCUUUUUCUAUUUUGCUAAAUUUAACACGAAUGCUUUUACUUGAGCAUAACCGUGAAAAGCGGAUCAGUUGUUUAUCGCUGAUCUUUCACCGUGCCUCCAUCCGGAUGUUAUUAGGUUUUGCUCGGAGACAUUAAGAACACUAUUAUAGAAUCUGGGGUGGCCAAAGACUUUUAGGUGCCGUUUAAAAAUACAGAUUUCAUUUGAAAUAUGAGAUUUUAAAUUCAAAAUUUGAAAUCUAGAAUUUGAAAUCGAAAUCCAUUAUUUGAGAAUAUUAGAAUUUCAAAUCCUGGGUUUGAAAUCCAAAUCCACUAUUUGCGCCACAACUUCUUUCACUGUGACAUUCCUAAUUGCUACUAGCCCUCCUUUAGAUUGUAAGAGAUGACACAACUUCUCAAAACGACGUAUGUCAAGACGUAGUUGCUCUCGACACAUCCUAUCAUUUGUUAAAGUGUUCAUCCAUAUAGCCCUGAUUUGAGCACGCUCGCACUCAUUCCAAGUUACCUCUUUCACCCUAUACAUUUGACCAUAUGAGACCGCUGCUACGACUACAAUAAAACCGGCAACUAUCGUAACCAACUCCAUAUCUUCAUCAUCCCUCCAACGUUUACACGAAUCUCGAAUACUCAAUUCAUCCGACAUUGUACUUUUUAGGCGUUCAAUCUAGUACGACAAUCAGUAAUCACAUAAUAUAUAUAUACAUGUAUUCAAAAACCAGAAAUUAUAAAGCUAUGAGUCUCAAUUUAGUUGUUCAGAUGUCAAAUGCGAAAAACUGAAAUAAACACAUACACACAGAUCAUAUACACAAUGUUAAACCCUAAUUAUAAAAAUAAGAGCAAUAUAAUGCAAUACCGACAAGAGAGACAAGGAGAAGGAGAGAUACAGGGAGAGGGAGAGGGAGAGCCAGAAGGGGGGGGGGGUGAUUUGCACCUUUGAAUUUACAGCGGAGAAGGAAAGAUGGCAUGAGAGAAAAGAAGCGAGUAGCAGCGUGAAAUGAUGGCAGGAGAGGAGGAGCGAGCAGAAGCUAUUAUUUGGAGCCGAAGCAGGUGCGUGAAUCGUGAAGGAGAGAGUUCUGUGUUUUGUUUUUUUUAUUUGAAAUGACACAUAGGAGACUAGUAAUUCAAAUCAUUUUAUUUAGACUUUGGUUUAAAUUUGAUGGAAUUGAACAAAUCUAAAUCCACAAUUUUUAAAAUUUGUCAAACAGUGAAUUUGAACAAAUACGGGAUUUGAAAUCAAAUCAAGAUUACCAAACAGGACAUUACAGAAUUUCAUUGUCUGGUGAGUGGCCAAAGACUUAAUGCCUGUUUGGGAAUCUUAAAAAUGUGUGUAUGUGAUCUUAAAUACAUGGUUCGGUCUUUCGAACACCAUUAUCAAUAUUCUUUUAUCUAACCGGUUUCUAGGUUUUGCCAAUAGUGUUGUAAAAAGCGGGAAUCAGACUUAGUCGGUAAAAGCACCGUCUAGUGAUUAAUCAGAUAAUUGAGGAUUAAUUGGAGUGGUUAAUCGGAUCAUUAAUAUUAUUUUUUAAACUAGAUAUAUAUAUAAAUAUAAAAUAUAUUUAUAUUUACAAUAAAUUUAUAAUCAUAUAAUUUUAUAAAUCAAAAAAUCAAUGAUUUUAUUCACAAAAUAUCCAUUUUCUAUAUAUUUAGGUCAAUUCAUCCCGUAAGACCAUAGUACAAUGUGUCUUAAAAUCAAUUUUUAAACUUCAACUUUUUUCUACCAUGAUUUUUAAUUUUUUUAAAUUGACUGAUUUUUUUAUUGAUUUUUGCCGAUUUUACCUUCUUUUGACCGUUUAAUCCCGAUUAAUCCCGCCUUUGACCGAUUUUUAAGGAAAAACGCUUUUUCACUGACUACGCUUAAUCGAGUCGAUGGCCGACCGAACAGCGAUUAAUCAGCGACUAAUCCCGAUUAAUCGCCGACUUUUAAAACACUGAUUUCACAUGUGAAAUCAUUUACUUCUUCCAAUUUUUAAAAAUAUGGAAAAUAUAGAUCAAUUGAUAAGUAUAACUUAAAAAUAAAAAUAAAAAAAUUGUUUUUUGAAACAAAUUUUUUUUUUAAAUUAAAAUUUAAAAUUAUUAAAUUUAGAAUGUAAUUUAAAUAUAGACACGUCACACGUGCCAUACCACACAGUCCUAUCUGGGAUUGAGAACGAAAACGACCGGAGGCCCAAUUCCAAUAAUCAGGUCCUGAAAUAGGCCCUAGUCAUCACAUAUUAAUCUCUAACAAAACAUAUGUACGUAUAUUCCCAGAAAAAUCAUAAUGUUAUAUAUAUAUAAUAUUUAUUUAAUUAAUAAUAAUUCCGAUCAGAUUUUAUCGAUUCGUUUUCAAAUUCAACCAUGAGAGCAUCUUCAAGAACAUGUAAUACAUUAAUUAAUAAUAAUUCCGAUCAGAUUUUAUCGAUUCGUUUUCAAUUUCAACCAUGAGAGCAUCUUCAAGAACAUGUAAUACAUUAUGUAGAAUUUACCAAACAAACAUGUAACAUAUUUUGUUCCGUUGAUGUUGAUUAUAUUGAUCGUUAUAUUUUAAAUAUAACUUGUUAUUAUUAUUUCGAAUUACUAUAAAUAGAAUGCAUUGUUUUAAUAGAUUAAUUGAUGAUAUAUAUUUGUUACAGUGGUGAUCUAACAGAGUGAAGAUUGACAAGAAAUACAAAUACUAUAAUUCAUUUUUUUAACCGAUCCAAUCCAACGCAUCAACAACAGUGUGCUAAAAAUGAUUAAAACAACUCCAAAUCAUGAAAAACUCUCAACUAAAAAAUGAGUUUGCAUAUCAAAAAUAAAAAAUGAAAAAUAUAAAUAAUCUGUGAACAUAUCACAUUCCAACUAUACUCUCCCCUUAUAUUUUAUAUAAUAUCUUAUACAUCCAAUUUUGCCGAUCCCAUCGGAGAUCUAUGGACUAAAAUGAUUGGCUGAAUUAGACCUAUAAGAUAUUACAUAAGAUUUUUUUUUCCCGAUGGUCCCCGUAUAAAUUGAAUAUAUUUCCAAGAUGAUAUGUCAUUAUUGAGAUGGAUCUGCAUAGGUAACGCCAUGAGAUCGACUAAAAUAGUCUGUAAACACACUCACCGGAUCUUAAUGAUAGAAAACCCACUCCGACAACCUUAAAAGACACUUGUAUUACUUUAAUAUACUUGCAAAAGAAUUCCGACGGGGCAUAUACUAUACUGCUUAAUUUAUUCUCUGAUGCAUUAUUAAAAGUAUUGAAAAAUAAUUCAGGAAGUGCCUAAAUAUUGUCUAUAGUUCGAUUCUUGAAAUACUUGAGCUACCAACAAAUCUAUCUGUUCAAAGUUUAGGUCUAAUUUCAGUUUUAACUUGCCUUGGCUAAUCAGGGUCAUGUCUACACUUUACAGCCCGUCAACAAUUUACCUGUUGUAUGAUCCUGUCCCCAGAAACACUGCUCCAAUUCUUCUAAGACGCACAACAAAAAUGUAAUGAGCUUCUGGAGCUGCUGGGUGAAGUGUGAAGACCGCAAUUAAAAUAUGAUAAUCAUCGGAAACUUGUACAACAGCUGAAUCAAGUAGUAGUUCUACCAUAUGUUUAUAGAUUAGCUGCAAAGCAUAUAGUGACUUCCAGGUUAUUCAUUAAAAUGCUUUCUCUAACCGAUCCUUGACCAUGAUGACCAAAAGAAAGAACAACACUGAUUAUCUCAUCCAGAUUGCUAGUGAUUCUAAUGACGCCACAACCUAAACAAUUCAUUAAGGUUGUGUUCACUUCAUGUAAUGGAAUGAGGGGAGAAUGGAAUGAAAAAUUAUAUAGAAUUUUUAAGGAGAAAGAAGAAAGUAUGAGAUAAUGGUGACAAUAUAUGAAUGUAGUUAAUUUUUUUGUGAGAAAGAUUGUGAAGAAACAUGAUGUUGAAAUGGAAUGAGCAUUCCUUCCAAAACAUGUGGGUUAGAGUUAUAGUUGAAAUAGUAAGGUCGGAAUGAUUGAAGGAAUGAAAAUUAUAUACAUUUUCUUUGAUAAACACCAUUUUAGAGUACAAAAUUCAUUCCAUUCUCCCUCCAUUCCAUUCACUCCAAGUAAACACAGCCUAAAGUGAUUGCGUAAUUGCUAGCGAGUAAACAAGAAACAAGACCAGUAAGUGAAGCAAAUAUGUCAAGUAUUUGUCGGAAACAACUUAAACAAAGACAAGAAAGUAACACCAAAUAAAUUUCAAUAACUCGCAAACUGUGAACAAAUUGAGUGCAAUUACUCUGUGAUAUCUUCAUGAAAGAAAACAUAUCUAUACCAAAGAUUACAAAUCAUAGCUUAACUGAGAUUCUUAACAGAGUCAGCAAACAGGGACAUAAACAAUUACAAAUUCAUCAACCAAUUAGACAAGCAACUUAAAAAGACUCGCCUUACCAUGAAAUAAACAUCAGCUCUUGAAAAUAUGGGCAUACAAAACCAACUGACCUUCUCGCAGCUGAAUUAUAGAAAAUAUCUCCUCAUUUGUAGUAGGCUCCAAUUUGCGAUCUGUUCUUACCUAGCAAGCAACUGAAGAUAAAUUCUAAAAACCUCGAUUAAUAGGCUGUUAAUUCGUUCAAUUUCUUCAAAUGAACAAGAUCGUAUAAACACAAUCAGUCCCUUGCCAAUUGCCAUGUAUUAUUAUUAUGCUAUUUGCAAUUAAUUCUCAGCCUAGCUAGUAAACCACUAAAACAUCCGAUUGAACCAACAGAACACGAAUUAUAUACAAAAGUAGUACUAAAUAAACAGAACACGAUCGAUAUUUCAUUCGAAACAUAGCGUGAAUCACAACAACAACACACAUAAAAUUAGGAUCAAAUCAUCAAGUCCCCCAACAUAUUAGCACAAACAGAAACAUAAACAUAGCAGGCAGACAUCUUAUCGAAACACGAAACACAACAUAAUCAGACGACAUCACUUCUUGAGACUCCCACGAACACCAGGACGAGGAGCCGAGGUCUCAGCAACCACAGGAGCACCAGCAUGAAGAUUACUAAUCUUGGUAUCAUCAAAAGGAAUCUUGGGGUGCUUAGAAUCGUGAUGGAUCUGCAUAGAUUUAACAUCAGGUGCAGUAAUCUUACAGUGGGGGCACUCGUACUUGGCGUGGCCGCCUUUGGUGGAGCCGGUGCGAUCGGCGAUUCCGGCUUUGCCGCCGCCGCGAUUGGUGGUGGCGGCGUCGAGCUUGGCGGCGAGCUCCUUGGCUGUGUGCUUCUUGGGCUUGGCUUUUCCGGUCAUGAUGGGGGGUGUUUUUUCUUGGGAUGUGUGAGGGAGAAGUGGAGAUAAAAUGAAUGGAGUGGGAGGAGGAGAAGGAGAAUAUAAACCCUAGAAACAAAGCGAGCUCACUUUUUUAUAGGGCCAUCUCCGUCUUUGACUUUAUCGAAUCAACCCACUCAAACUGAUCUAAACUAAACUUAUUUUUACCGAUCCAAACUAAAAUUUUCCAAACCCGAUAUAUAUUUGGAUUAAAAAUACAUCAACCCAAUUAUAAUGGGUUGGAUAUGGUUUAUCUAUAAUCUAUAUAAUCAUUUUUGUUAUACAAAUGUGAUCAUUUUUGUUAUACAUAUGUGUUUGGUAUCGUGGUUGAUUCUCAUACUAUAACCAGUGGCGGACCCGGACUAAAAGUCAGGAAGGCUGAAAAAUAUUUCGUCAUCCAUACUUGCAUAAAUAGUUUUCUCAAUAUAUAUCAUCAUACUAUCAUUCAUUCAUACAUCUUCCAUCCUAUUACGCUGAUAAGUCUUGAUUGCUUUCAUAGCAAAAAAAAUUCUUUCAACAAUAGCAAUGACAACGGGUAAUACCAAAACUAACUCAACCACAAGAUAAACUAAGAGAUAAAUAGUGUGUCUGUGUGUAUUAACCAUCAAAAGAACUCCACCGAGUUAGGGUAGUGUCAAUGUGUGCGUUUGACUUAUGAGAGCAUGUCCAAAAACUUCUUCGUAUGGGCUCUUUAGCCAAAAUUUGAAGAAUAUGAAGAUGAAAUGAACUCCAACAAGCUCCCAGCACCUCUUCAAAAAUUUAGGUGCUCUAUUUGUUUCCUCAACAAUGAGGAGCACACUUUCCCUCUUAACUAUAUUUUAUAUUAUUUUUAAUGUACAAAGUACUCAGCAUGCAUCAUACAGUUUGCAUGAUCUAGUUGCUCUGAGUGUAUCUGUUUGAAUGUAUUUGUUAAUUAGACGCUCUUUAGACUAAGUGUCUUCUCUUUUCUUCUUUUAAACUAAGUCCCUCUCUAUGACAUUUAUAAUUCAGCGGGACUAAUAAAAUUAUAUUGACAUCACAAAUUCAGGGGGGCUGGGAAAAAAAAUAUACACUGUUUUUUUGAGGUUAGGGGGGGCUCUAGCAUCCUCUAGCCCCCCCUCUGGUUCCGCCACUGACUAUAACAUCUUAUUAGUGUGAAUCGAUUGAAACUCUUCACAAUAUUGCUUAAUCUCAACUCACAAGUUUGAUUUUGUAUAAUUUUAAGAUGAUGUUUGUUGCUAUAUUAUAUUGAUGUUUAUUGAUAUAUUAUAUUGUUUUUAUAAUCAUUUAAUUAUACUAGCAACAAAUUACAACCUUAUGUACAGGGCAAAGCGAAUCUACUUGUUAUUGUUAAAACUCUGCUAAUCAACUUAUACUUAAUGAUUAGGGAUGGCAGAAAAGAUCAAUCCGAAUGGAUAUCCGACCGUUUCGAUCCGAAUGGAUUUGACCGAACCCGAUAUUUUGGAUUUGGAUUUGGAUUUGAUUUUUAGACCCGAACGAGUUUGGAUUUGGAUUGGGAUAUUAGGUAUUCCGUAUCGAAACCCGACCCGAAAUUCAAAUCCGAUCCGAACCCGAUCCAUACCCGAAACCCGAAAAAAAACCCUGAAUAAUAUAUAUUAUAUAUAUAUAUAAUAUGGGAUAUUAGGUAUUCCGUAUCGAAACCCGACCCGAAAUUCAAAUCCGAUCCGAACCCGAUCCAUACCCGAAACCCGAAAAAAAACCCUGAAUAAUAUAUAUUAUAUAUAUAUAUAAUANAUUUUUAGANACCCCUAAUUUCACUAUUCACAGACACAGACCAAGACACCCGAAAAAAAACCCUGAAUAAUAUAUAUUAUAUAUAUAUAUAAUAUUAUAUAUAUUAUUUAUAUUUCUGACCAUAAUAUAUUAUAUAUAUUAUUUAUAUUAUAUAUAUUAUUUAUAUUUUUGACCAUAAUAUAUAUAUUAUUCAACAUUUUAGAUGUUAAAGUUAUAGUAAUAUAUUAAAUAGUUAUAUGUUAUUAGUCCAAUUAUUCACAUAGACAGCAGAGUGUAGAGCUGUAGUCGACUCGUAGACAAACCCCUAAUUUCACUAUUCACAGACACAGACCAAGACACCAAGUCGCCGCCGCCUUCACUCUUCAUUCUUCAACCCUUCAACUCAAGUCGCCGCCUUCAGAGUUUAGCCCUUCAACUCGCCGCCCGGCCUCCGCCUACAACCUCUCCAAGUUCGAGCGCCCGACCUCCGCUUCUAUUUCGUAAUUAAAUUUUAACCCUAGAUUUCUUUCCUCUCAAUAACUAUUUGUAUUGAUUAUCAUACUUUGAUUAUGAUAUAUCUUAGUGUAUCUAAUUGAACCCUAGAUUGAUGUUAAUUGAGUGUAUCUAAUUGAACCCUAGAUUUAUGUUAAUUGACCUUGUAGUUGCUUUUAUUAUGGUUGUAGUUUUAUAAUUUUAUUAUGGCUGUGUUAAUUGGAUGCCAAUUGGAUGCCUGUAUAUCCUAUAGAGUAUAGUGUACUGCUGCAUUGUAUAGAUUGAUGUUAAUUGUGCAUUUUUCUGCUGUUCAUGAUUUUGAUUAUGCUGUAGUUUUAUAAAUGUUCUUCUCAUUGUGUUAUUGUACAGGCUGCAGCCAUGUCUAGCCCAGACAACAAUCACGAACCUUCGCCGGAGGUGCAAUCAACCGACAAAGACAGUAAUUCCACCCCUGAUCCAGAUGUCAUAUUAAUCGAUAAUGAUGCUGCUACAGACUCCAAGAUGGUUGUAGAAGGCGGUUCGGGAAAGGAAAGAAGUGAGGUGUGGAACCACUACACUAAGAAGACAUUGGACGAUGUUUUGAAAGCCGUUUGUAAAUAUUGUAGCAAGCAGUUGAAAGGUGAUUCAGGCAGCGGUACAACACACUUGAAGAAUCAUUAUGUGAAGAAACAUAAGUAGAAGCCUCAAGAGAGUAUAAGGCAAAAGCUUUUAUCAAGCAAUUUCAACAAAGAUCACCCUCAACUAGCAGCUUAUAAUUUCAAUCAAGAGGCAGCAAAAACGGAGCUAGCAAAGAUGAUUGACAUGCAUGAAUAUCCGCUCUGUAUUGUGGAUCAGGUUGGAUUUAAGAGAUACUCAGCAGUGCUUCAGCCACUCUUCAAAGUUAUUUGCGGUACAACACAUGCCAAUAUUGGAUCCAAGACUGCAGCAAUUCCUAUGAUACCAUGAAUCACAUGCCAAUAUUUGUCAAAUUUAAUCAACAUCUUCUCUGCCAUGGUCUGAAUCACAAAAUUUGUACUUCUCCUCCAUUCUGUAAUUGCUUGAUGAAUCUCACAUAUGUUAAUAAAGCACAAAUUAGCACUGGGAUAUUUUGUCCCAGAAAAUACCUCAGUCGCCAUAUAAAAGGUUUUCAACCUCUAACAAACAUCCAAAGUGAAGUCCCAAUCUUCUCUUGAAGGCAGGGUCUUGUAAUUAGACUCCCUUUGACCUAAUCUGUUGAAAACAUCUUUAUAAAUCAGUGCUCUUUCAAGCAUAAGGUACGUGGAAUUCCACCUUGUUGCACAGUCAAGUCCUAGUUUCUUUGUACUCGCAAUCCGUAAUUGGCGGGCUGUUUCUUCAAAUUUCUCCUCCUUUUUUGGGGUGGCAGUCCAAUAAACUACAGAAUCACGAAUUUUUUCAACCCCGGAUUUUAUAACAUCCAACCCAUCUUUUACAAUCAGAUUUAAAAUGUGAGCGGAACACCGCAUAUGAAACAGACUUCCACCUUGAAUUAGAGAUGCACUGUCCAUCUUGUCCAACAGAAUUUCAAUCAUAGCAUCAUUUGUGGAACAAUUAUCAACUGUGAGAGAUGAAAUCUUGGUAUCCACAUUCCAGUCCAUCAAACAUUUUAGUAAAUACUCACAAAGAACAUCUUUCGUAUGGGGACAGGGCACAUAUAUGAACCUACAGUGUUAUUGUUAUUUUAGCAAUAACAAGGAAAAUAAGUAUACUAAUCAGCAGCAAAAAUCUAUGUAAUCAGCAGCAAAAAUCUGAGUAAGGAACCAGUUAACGGCAAAAAAAGUAUACUAAUUAACAGCAACCAGUAAAGUAGCCAAAUACACAUACUAGAUACUAAUGUAAAGGAGCACACACAUAUUUAUUGCUUGUACAAGGACUCCGUAACUCAGAUUCAACAUAAACCACAAACAAGCUUGCAAUCAAAUUACAGAACAGUAAAGGACAUAUAAAUGAACAUAGAACAUAUAUAUGCAUAAAGUUAGACUUGGUACCUCAUAAUACGGCUCUGUAACAUCCAAGAACCAUCUAUGAAAUGAGCUGUUACAGCCAUAUACCCCUUUUUCUGAUUAUUUGCAGUCCACAAAUCUGUUGUAAUUGCUAUUCGACUUGAAAUACUCUCCAACAAGCUACUGGUCUUCGCUUUCUCAUAUUCAUAAAUAUGAAAAAUCUCACUUUUUAUUGUGUUUCUGGAGGGAACUUUGAAGAGUGGCUGAAGCACUGCUGAGUAUCUCUUAAAUCCAAUCUGAUCCACAAUACAAAGCGGAUAUUCAUGCAUGACAAUCAUCUUUGCUAUCUCCGUUUUUGCUACCUCUUGAUUGAAAUUAUAAGCUGCUAGUUGAGGGUGAUCUUUGUUGAAAUUGCUUGAUAAAAGCUUUUGCCUUAUACUCUCUUGAGGCUUCUACUUAUGUUUCUUCACAUAAUGAUUCUUCAAGUGUGUUGUACCGCUGCCUGAAUCACCUUUCAACUGCUUGCUACAAUAUUUACAAACGGCUUUCAAAACAUCGUCCAAUGUCUUCUUAGUGUAGUGGUUCCACACCUCACUUCUUUCCUUUCCCGAACCGCCUUCUACAACCAUCUUGGAGUCUGUAGCAGCAUCAUUGUCGAUUAAUAUGACAUCUGGAUCAGGGGUGGAAUUACUGUCUUUGUUGGUUGAUUGCACCUCCGGCGAAGGUUCGUGAUUGUUGUCUGGGCUAGACAUGGCUGCAGCCUGUACAAUAACACAAUGAGAAGAACAUAUAUAAAACUACAGCAUAAUCAUAAUCAUGAACAGCAGAAAAAUGCACAAUUAACAUCAAUCUAUACAAUGCAGCAGUACACUAUACUCUAUAGGCUAUACAGGCAUCCAAUUAACACAGCCAUAAUAAAAAUUAUAAAACUACAGCCAUAAUAAAAGCAACUACAAGAUCAAUUAACAUAAAUCUAGGGUUCAAUUAGAUACACUCAAUUAACAUCAAUCUAGGGUUCAAUUAGAUACACUAAGAUAUAUCAUAAUCAAAGUAUGAUAAUCAAUACAAGUAGUUAUUAAGAGGAAAGAAAUCUAGGGUUAAAAUUUAAUUACGAAAUAGAAGCGGAGGCCGGGCGCUCGAACUCGGAGAGGUUGUAGGCGGAGGCCGGGCGGCGAGUUGAAGGGCUGAACUCUGAAGGCGGCGACUUGUUGAGUUGAAGGGUUGAAGAAUGAAGAGUGAAGGCGGCGACUUGGUGUCUUGGUCUGUGUCUAUGUGUCUGUGAAAAGUGAAAUUAGAAGAGUGAAAUUAGGGGUUUGUCUACGAGUCGACUACAGCUCUACACUCUACUGUCUAUGUGAAUAAUUGGACUAAUAACAUAUAACUAUUUAAUAUAUUACUAUAACUUUAACAUCUAAUAUGUUGAAUAAUAUAUAUAUUAUGGUCAAAAAUAUAAAUAAUAUAUAUAUAUAUAUAUAAUAUUAUUCGGGUUUUUUUUCGGGUUUCGGGUAUGGAUCGGGUUUGGAUUUCAGGUCGGGUUUCGAUACGGAAUACCUAAUAUCCAAAUCCAAACUCGUUCGGGUCUAAAAAUCAAAUCCAAAUCCAAAAUAUCGGGUUCGGUCAAAUCCAUUCGGAUCGAAACGGUCGGAUAUCCAUUCGGAUCGGUCUUUUCUGCCGUCCCUAGGCACAGGGGCCUUCUUUAAGCUUGGAUGUGGCCUAACAAAGCUCAGCAAAAUGAGUAUACAGUAAUAUGUGAUAGCCAAACGUUAUUAAUGCCAGCAUCAAUCUUAUGCUUACUGUAUACUUCUCUUCUCAGAAUCCUGGCGAAGGAGGUGUGGGCCGUGUGGCCAAGGUGUGGAUACUAUUUUCGGAAGACAAAAUAUUCUCUUGCCAGGUGAAUCUAACAGUGGAUUACACAAUCACAGAUUGUACUUUUGUACAGGGCUGGAUUUCUAUUACUAGUUUUUAUUCAUGGUUCUUGACGAGAACCAUCUAUACUAUAUUAUAAUAAGCCAAAAUGGGUAUAAUUUGUAGUUCUUUUUUUGUUCACGUUUUUUGGUUUCGUCCUACUUUUUUCGUCCUAUUUUUUUGUCUCUUUAGACUACUACUAAAAAUAAGUCUCUUAAUUUUAUUUUACUUCUUAAAGAAAUUCUCCUCUAUAUUAUAAUAAGCCAACAUGGGUAUAAUUUGUAGUCCUCUUUUUUGUUCACGUUUUUUGGUUUCGUCCUACUUUUUUCGUCCUAUUUUUUUGUCUCUUUAGACUACUACUAAAAAUAAGUCUCUUAAUUUUAUUUUACUUCUUAAAGAAAUUCUCCUAUUAAAAUUCUAUCUCUGUAGAUGUUAGUUUUACAAACAAAAACAAGUACUCGCCUUCUCCCGAUGUGCCUCUCCAUCCUUUCUCUGAAGCUGUGGCUGUCAAGUAGCGCGGCACCAAAGCUAAACGCGGUUGUGCAACUUGAACCAAACCCAGUCAAAGCGAACGGUAAUUACCUAGCAUAUAUUUUCUUUUUAAUUUCUUUUAAUGAAAAUCAGCCUUAAAGUUUUACCAUGAACAGAGAGAUACAACAAUCAUGUGAGAAGAAGGCAAAGGCAGAUCAGCGACAGACCCACUUGAGUGCUGAACAACUCCUGAAAUUCUUGGUUGAAGAGCAAGGUGAGCAAGGAGCCACACUGAGUGAGUGUGAGAGUAUAGUUCAGCAAGUUCUUGAUAAGAGGCAUCACAUUGCUAGGUUCACAAGACAUUCUUUGAGUCUUGAUGACUUUCAUCAUUUUCUGUUUUCAACUGAUCUUAAUCCACCUAUGUUGACUAAGGUAUGAUUUAAGUACUUUGAUUUCAAUUUGUUUGGUUUUUGAGUUGGGAUCUUACUUAGUUGACCUUUUCCACUGUUUUGGGAUUUUUUUUUAUUUGUUUGUUUUUGAUCUUGGAUUCUUGAUUGGAAUUGAGUUAGGGAUAAGUGGUAAUUAGGAAAUUGAAUUUUAUGAAUCUUGGUGUGUGGCGAAAUGGACAGACAGAAGAUAUUAGGAUUAAAUUAGGACUAAAUAGUAUUGAUGGUAUCUGUUUAUCUGAUUGAUUAGACAUCAAGAUUGUUAUUGCACUUAUCAAGAUUAUUAUUGCACUUAGGGGGAUAUAUGGGGAAUGUUUGGUGUGAUUUAACUUAUAUUUUCGAGAAAUUUUCUGGAAUAGUUUAAGAUAUUCCACGAAUCUGUUUUUUCUGGCAUUAGGCCAAUAAAAUUCAACUGUUUCCCCAAGGGGGUUGGUUUAGAUAUUAAUCUUUUAACAAUGAUUAAUGGAAAUAUGAGGGCAACAUCACUUUGUUAGUACUCAAAUGUGUAUAUCUUGAUUUAACAAUACUGAAUAGUAAUUAGGUAAAAUAUUCAGCAAAAGAAAAUUAGUAAUUAGGCUUGCUCAGUUUUGAAAUGAAGAUAUUUUGUAAUGAUUGUAACCUUGAAUGUAACUAUUUGAUUUUUGUUUUUGUUAAGCCUUUUCUAUUUGCAUUUGGUAGUCAAUAUUAAAAAAAAAACAGAGAGAGAAAAAUAGUUUCAUGUUUUUUCAGCAGGUAUGCUUUAUCACAAACUUUACAGCUAACAUGGGCACUUGUUCUAUUUUUAGGUCAAUCACGACAUGACUGCACCACUGUCACAUUAUUUCAUAUACACCGGACAUAAUUCGUACUUGACCAGGAAUCAGCUCAAUAGUGAUUGCAGUAAUGUUCCAAUCAUAGAAGCACUUAAAAGAGGUGUGCGAGUUAUAGAACUUGAUUUAUGGCCAGACUCAAACUCACGCAAGGGUGCUAUACAAGUUAAACAUGGAGGGUGGGUAACCUAUAUUAAGAUUUUGCUUUAUAGUUCUUUUGCAGCUUGAUAUGUAUGUUUGAGUAAAAUUGGCAGCUUUCUUGCUAUUUUUCGUUGAAUUUGUGAAUUUACUUAGAAGUUAGUUAUUUAGACAAGGCUAGAACUUCAGAUACAUUGAACAUUUUGUCAAUUACUGAUAUGGCUUAAUUACCUUCGUUGAUCGUGUAGAGGAUUGAAGAAAUUUGGAAUGCUAGCAGUUGCAUUGGGGAUCGCUGGUGAUACAGCCGUGUUUUACGAAGUUAGAAUUGUGGGUACGCAAGACAAACUCUUAGAUGACACUGGAUCUCAUUAUUUUUACCAGAGUUAUAUUGAGUGAACCGUGGAUUUAGUAUUUGGUAAAGCAAGAUCACUUUACAAGGUAUGCUCCGAAAGUUCUGAAAUCUACAGUUUAUGACGAGGUUUAGCUCAUUGAUAUAAUCUGGUGAAUGUUUGCAACUGUUCACAAGAAAAAAAUUGUUUAAUUGGGUCAAAAUUCUCUAAGAAUAAAAGAAAAUACGAUCAUCUUUUUAACAGUCCUAGAUGCUUCACCCUCUCAAGGUUUAAGUCUUUAUGUUUGUAAAUUUAUUUUUACGGAAGAUAAUUAUGCGCAGACUUGGUGUGUCUGGAGGUCUGUCCAAUCACUUUUUAAAAAAAACUUAAAUUAUUAGUCACCCACAUCGUUGCAUGUGUAAUAGAAAUAAGAUCCAUUCAGUUUUAAUUUAGGGAAGUUGAUUCCAUGCUGUCUAUUUUUUCUUAAUGUGGGUGUACCACUCUCCCCUAAAAAGAUGUAGAAAAGGAGUUAUCAAGUCAGGUCUUGGUCUCCAUUAAGAGAUUAUAACUGAGAAGAGAAAGAAUAGAAUUUAUAAAUUUGUUAUGUACAUUGUAUGAUUCGUAAGUGUGUUGUGGAUCAUUCGGCAAUUUAAUACAAGGGGAACAAAAUUAUGGAAGAGAAAUGUCACCUUGAGCUUGGUGAGGUGAUUUAUUUUUUCAUUUAUAUGUUGUUUGUACCUUGAGAAUAUUUUUAAUAGAUCUUUUACAUAUCAAUCUAUAUGUUUAUUGUUAAGUAUCUCAUGUUAAGGUUAGUUGCGCUGAACCUUUUUGGAUUAAAGCAUCCUCCUAUUUGGUUUUUUAUUCGAUAUGUUAUACUGACUUUCAGAGUUUUAUUUAGUCACUGCCAAUGUUGUAAUUGUUUUGUAAGUAUUGAAUUUCUAAAUAUGUUUUAGAGUAAGCAUAAAAAACUAUACUAUAUACUUUUCCAUAGGCAUCUGUGGCUGUGUAUCUCUUUCAUCAAAUGAAUGGUUUCCGGUUUAUAAGUUGUGUUGCUAUACAUGCCUGUAGAGAAAUAACAGACUGUUGUUUGACAUUUAUGUCCCAAAUAGUUGAGAUAUAAUCAUUUUAUCUCUUUAAUCUGUGGCUAGCUUUUAGUGCACUGUGCACCACCUGCCCACAAUUAACAAAGGAAUUUUAGGUGGUGGAAGUAGCAACUCCGGGGAAUGUUAAUGUUAAAAUUUGUUUUUCGUUUCAGGUGUGUAAAUUAGUUGUCUGUGUAUAACUCUUACUAUGUUACUAUAAAGUAUAAACCACUAAAUGUUUCUUUUCCUUUUAUUCUUUUGCGAAGUAACAUCCAACUGCUUCUACUGUGUUUAUGUUCCACCUACUAUGUUUAUAUAUAUAUAUAUAUAUAUAUAUAUAUAUUCUAAAAUGACUUUUUGUUGUGUCCGAGAGAAUUAACUCCCAAGUCUUGACUACUAAAAAUGCCUAUAAUAAUAACAGACUGUUGUGUGACAUUUUAUGUCCCAAAUAGUUGAGAUAUAAUCAGUAAAAGUAUUACCAAAGUAUUCUCGGGAAUCUAAUAUAAUGGAAGGCAUGGUGUUAUUAAUUGGUGGUUAGUUUUUAGAUAUUUUGCCUAGAUUAUUUAUUUUAUAAGGUCUUAUAUACUUUUAACAGACUAAGCUUAGGACAACCAUGAAUGACUUGCUCCUCUGGAUUACAUUGUAGCAUUAAAAAAUGAUGAAUUUGUUUAUACUUAUGAUAACGUGGCAAAAGUAGUGCAGGGUCACCUAAAAUCUCCCUCCCUCCCUGUCUGUUAGCUGAAGUGCCGUUUUCUAUAAUUUGAAUCAAUUGGUGAUAUAGGUUUUGUAUCAUCAAAUAUGUCAUAUGUUGGCAUUUCAUAUAGCUGUGCUGUCAUUUGUUUGUCAGCAAUAUAGUUGUGCUAUUUUUUGAUAUAACUCCUGGGUAAUGUUUACAUUUAAUGUUGCCCAUUAUAAGGAGUGUCAUAAUACUACACUUUUUUAAUUUGUUUAUAAAAAAUGUAGGUGCAGAGUCCCUUAUUCAUUCGUCAUCUUCAGUGUACAACAUGGCAAUGGUGGAUGAGGCCGUGUCGUAUCAAAACUUGGCAAGCCUUAACAGUACAAAGAUGGACCGGAAGAUUUUGAUCCGUGUAACCAGACUGUGGUUGUCUAUAUCUGUUGAAGAUGAAUCUUUUGAUGGAGCCAAUCUUAUUUUUCUUGAUUGAAGGUGCUAACAUUGAACCUGAGAGGUGAAUGCUGGCUAGAUCUUUAGGACUACAGUCCAACAAAAUUAUUUUUUGGUUCCAGAACAGGAGGUCUUGGUUGAAGACUAAGCAACUACAGGGAGACUAUAAUAUUCUCACAAGACAUGUAUAUUUUGAAUUAGAAUUUAUGCAAAUCAAAAAUUGUUAUCUAUAAUAAAUGGUGAGCAUCUAAAAUACUUGUACAAUAUUAUAUUAAUUUAUUUAUUUGUCAAAAUAUCUUUGCUUUUUCUUUGUAUCCUUGUAUCUUUAUAAUAUCAAUUUAAUACUUAACAUUAUAAUUUUUUGUGACUUUGAACAAAGUUAUGACUUACAAGUUUUUAGUUAAAUUAAUUUAACUUUUGAGUUUUGGAAUGUCAACCAACUAUGUACACAUAGUUCUAUCAUUUAAAUAUCAUUUAAAUACUAUUGAACGGGCGAUUAGGUAAUAUUAGUAUAUCUUAGUUAAUAAAUAUUUUCCAAUAUACACUUUUAUAUAUUUUCUAAUAAUUAUAAAUUUUAAUAUAAUGGAAUAUUAAGAUUAAAUUGUAUAUCUCAACAAAGAUUUAAUAAAAUAAUUUUAUUUUAUCUCAACAAAUGUGUUAGUUCACCUGCUCUACACAUUAGACAAAUAAAAAUACAAAGAACCAGCUCUUGCUCUCGAGGUAUCACCCUCAUUGUCGUAGCAUUUUCCAAUAUUAUCAUAUAUUAAUAUUAGAAAAAAAUUCACAUAUGGAUAAUAAAAAUAUUUUAAUAACUAAAAUCUUUAAAUGAAUAGAUUUUUUUUCCAGUAACUAAAAAUUUUAGCUCAAUAUUUUAAUAUAACUAAUUUUUUUCCAAUACAAUGGUAUCAUGUGCUAUACAAUGAAAUAUGAAAAAUAUAAGGUAAUAUUAAUCAAAAACCACAUUACCAUAUAUUAAUAUUAAGAAAACAUUCACAUAUAUAUAAAAAAAUUGAUUGUUUAUACUAAUAUCUUAUAAUACAGAAAAAUAUUGGACAAGACAAAUUUUCAAAAGUGAAUAUAACCAAUCGACUAAUAUAAUUUAAUAUAAUUUAAUUUAACUAAUAAAAAACAGUAAUAAAAUGAUAUUAAAAUUAUAAAUAAUCAAAUUAAAAUUAUAUGGUCGCCCGUGCUUCGCACGGGUUAUAGGCUAGUGCUAAUUAAUUAGUAAACCAUUACUUAUCCGACAUUCCAUGAUUUCUGAGUGGCGGGCAUAUCCUCUGUUGUCCCGGGACACCCGGGUUCGACUCUGGCUCACCCCGAGAAUUAUUAGAACAGAUACUAAUUUGUAAGGCAUAUAAGGCUGCAUUGUCAAAAAAUAGAAAAAUCUUUUAUUAAUAAUGUUUGUUAUAGAUUAGGAAGCAUUUUGUUCUAUAUUUACAGUUUGACUAAAAGAUUUAAUGUAUGUUUUGAUCAGGUCAUAAACAUAAAGGAUGUGACCCAAAUAAUAAUACAAUUUCACAAAGACAGAUGAUUUUUAAAAAUAAAAAAUGUGUGUAAAGUGAUUUUAAUAUAUAAUCCUGAAACGAAUCAAAUAGUCACUAUAAUGAGCGUGUAUUAUCUAAAAAUUAUUUCCGCUAAAUUUAAUUUUGUUAUGCAUAGAGAUAAUACUCCCACCUGUUUGAAUGUCAAGGACAAUUCUUAUUCUUCUGAUAAAGUCCAUCAAUGAGCCACGAAGAUAGGUCAUUUUUUCUACAAUUUAAGUUAUCUAGACAUUCACAUCCGCUGUUCAUCUAAUAUAUUCUUUCACUUUACUUUUUAAACCAUAAUCUAAUUAUGAUAUCAUGCUUCUGACGGUAUCUAAAUAGAGUGGCCGUGUUUCAAGCAUCAAUACCAUUCUUUAUUCUUAGAGCUCGAAGCAAGCCCAAUUUUUACAAAGAGGACAGUAGCCAGUGAAUGUCAUGAGGGUAUUGCUAACCGAAUCUAAUUCAAAUUAUACAGCGGCGGUUCGGUUGAAGGAGGCAAUCUCAUCGUCAUUGAUUAAAUCUGCCCAACAUGCAGGAGAAGAGUGGGGAGUUUAUCAAUUGGUACAACGUACACACAUGUCUGAUUCUCAAUCAUUUUUUGAAUUUAACGAAGUUAAUAAAAUUAAUAAGUUUUUUCGACGGUCUCCGCACACGUAGCGCGAGCAAAAUUCCCUAGUUCACGUAAAAAAACCAAGGUUGUAAAAAUAGAACUCGGUCCAACUCAGUUUGGUUUCGGAAAAAUGAGUACUCGAAACUCGAGAGAGUACUCGGAAUGAGUUAUUGGAUAACUAAUCGGGUAUUUUUUUAAAAUUAUUUUUUCAUAUAUAGUUAUAUACUGAUUAAUAAUAAAACUAUCUAAUAAUAUUUAUAUUUUAAUAACACACUUGAAAUAAUGAAGUUCAAAUAAAAGUUAUUUGUUUGAUAGUUUCUGACAUAAUAAUCAUUCACAAGUUUUAAUGAUAAAACACAUAUACUUUCUAAUUAAUGUCAAUACUUUGCAAAAAAAAAAGACCAAAACAUAUAUAAAUUUACAUUUAGUCUCUUUUGAAAUAAUUUUCAAAUAAAACAAUAAAAAAUUGAUAAGUCAAACUCGGAUUUGACAUAGAGUACUUUCAAACCGAGUUUUGAUCGAUUUUUAAUAAAUCGGUUUUGAACCCGAAUACUCGGAACUCUAAUCAGAUGAGGGGUUAAAAACGAGUACUUGGAAUGAGUACUCGGCCGACUCGUCGAUUUUUUGGACACUGCAAAAAAAACUAGUCACUUGAUUAUACUAGCAAAUAACAUUUAUAUUGUUUCUUAGCCAACCUGUUUUUAACGUCCCUUUGAUCCUUUUUCCUUGUUCUCUGUACUCUGAUACUGAUCCUCCACAGUAUCAACUUUACAUUUUGAAACUUUAUUUUUAACCAUAUCAAGUGUGAUUUCAUUAGUCCUGAGUUUUAGAACACUUUGUAAAAAACCCACAAAUUUCUCAAUGUUGGAACUUGGAACCGAAACUGAUACACCAUACCACUAUACAUGUCCAAAAAAGAACCCAAUUUCAGAAACUGAUACACCAUACCACUAUACAUGUCCAAAAAAGAACCCAAUUUCAGAAACUGAUACACCAUACCACUAUACAUGUCCAAAAAAGAACCCAAUUUCAGAAACUGAUACACCAUACCACUAUACAUGUCCAAAAAAGAACCCAAUUUCAGAUUAUCUUGCACUUUUAGAUCAACGCCAUUAUUCUUGCACCCCGGAGUAUUGAGGAGCUACCUCUGUUAUAAACAGGGGAUCAAUUCAGACAAUUCUAGUAACAUUUUAGAAACAGGGGAUCAAUUACUUGAAAUGGAGGCAACUCGGAAUGUUACAUUACAGUAGAAUCCUUUUAAGUUAUAAUGAAUUGCAAGAAUCAACAUGCUUCAAAAUGCAUUGCAAACAACUCUUUUAUAGAAAGUGUAGUGUGAAGACAUUUCUUAUUUAGUGGUCACUACUCAAAAAGUUCUCUUGUUGGAAAUUGCCGUUGUACUAUUUUACUGAAAAUUCUCAAGGAAGACAUUUUACAGAAAAGAGAUUAAACAGUCUUAUUAGAAACUCAUACAUCCUAAUUGUUAGGAGUUUUUUUUUUCUUUCCCGAAACUCAUUCACUGUGAACUUCCAUUUAUUUCUUGAACUACCCAACUAUAUAUUGUUUCCACUUUCCAGGGUAUCAAGCUAUAUGACUCGAGAUUGGCCACAAGUCGUAUUUCGAAAUAAAAGUGAAGGGCUGAUCCCUAGCUUUGAGGAACCAAGAUCGAAUUCAAGAAGAUAAUUCUCCAUUUGACGGCCUCCUAUCACAACUGAAGUUCUUGGAUUAGACCCUCCAUCCACAAAUGCCAUGCAUAAGACGUCCUUCUUUACUGAGACCAUUGAAUUGGCACCGCGGAAUCUCCAAUGUUGCUUGCCUGCCAGACCAGUACUGAUGUAUGGCACUACAGGUCCUGUUUAGCCUUUGGCUACAGAUUUAGCGUCUAAACAUGCUCCGAAAGGUGCCACAGACGCUACUCGUUUCAUUUUUCUGAGCACUGAAGCUUUUAUGAAAUCUCUGACAAGGCUGUUAUAGACUGAAGUCUCUAAUUUUGUGAAGGGAGUAUAGUACUAAGUUUAGUGCCCCCAGGCCUUCUUUGUUAAUGGAUAGCAAGAAGCAUUGACAGGGACAACUGGACAAGUUUAUCAUCGAUGUUCCUUUGCAAUGACUUUAUUCUCAGACCAAUGUUCCUUAGCAAUGUCUUUAUUGUAUGGCUGAGAAAAAUAAAUUGAAACUGGGUUAUGAUCUGUGUGCAUGCAAUGGGUUACCUAUAUGUGAUUAAUCAGCAGACACUGCAAUUUGGGAAACUUAAAAAGAUACUCGAAUGUGGCAAUAAAUCAAACUGAACUGCUUUCUUGUGGAGUCCCCCAAAUUAAGCUAUUGUCGUAAAUUGUUGGUUAACAGGGAGCGCUCAAGAAGCUUUGAGUUGCUAGCAAUGAUAAAAGGGAGAUUCUUGCAGAUGCAUCAUUAUAACAUCUCGUGAGAGUCAUACAUGCAAGUAUCAUGGAUUAGUUGAACUAAUGUAGGUUCACAUAUGUUAUGAUUAGGAGCGUAUACAAUGUGCAUAAAGCAGAGCCAUGUAUAUAAAACUCUUCGUCAGGGAGACUCCCCAAGUAUUUAACAUGCUAUAUGUACAACUACCACUUCUUAAAUCUUACCGUUACUGCUACCUUGUUUUCUGAAGCAGGCAGGAUCGGUUUCUAAUUAGCCUAUUUCAGCUGAUUGUGGUAUACUGGUAUUGCUUUAUUGUUCCGCUUGGAUUGUUAUUUAAUUUUGAGCUCAACAAAUUCACUGAUAAUCAAACUCUGAAACAUUUUCCAAAAAGAAAAUAAACAGUUUAUUAAAAGCUCUACAUAGCCUAAUCACACUGAACUCAGACUAUCAUAAUCCUGACUAGAUAAUUGUUUCACGAAACCUACAACAGUCGAGACUGGGUGCAAGUUGUAUUGCGGAACAGAAGUGAAGUGCUAAUCCCCAGCUUUGAGGAAACGAGAUUGAACUCAAUAAGAUAAUUCUCCAUCUGAUGCCCUCCUAUGACAAGAGAAGUUCUUGGCUUCGACCCUCCAUCUACAAAUGCCAGGCACAACACAUCCUUCUUCACAGAGACCAUCGAAUUAGCACCGUAAAAUCUCCAAUGCUGCUUGCCUGCAAGACCAAUAUCUAUGUAUGGCACAACAGGUCCUGUCUGGCUUUUUGCUACAGAAAUAGCUCUGAAACACGCACUAAAUGGUGCCACAGAGGCCACUCUUUUCAUCUUUCUGAGCGCCGCAGCCUUCUUAAAGUCACUGACAAGAACCUUAUACAUGGAAGUCUCCAAUUUGGUAAAAGGAGUCACCGUACUAAGUUUAGUGCCCCCUUCGCCAUUCUUGUCAAUGGAUAGCAAAGAAGCAUUGACAGUGACCGGCCUGUUGUCAACACUAAUCGACGUAACAUCUAUGAAGUAUUCGUCCGAAUGGUCACCUUCGCUUGAUACAGGAGCAGUGCUAACAGGAUUGAUGACAAGCUUUGUAGUGAGCAAUUGUUUAGCAAUGUUCUUAUUGUAUGGUGGAAAAAAAUAAGGCCCCCCACCAAUAAACAUGUGGCCAAGUGGAUAUUCGGUUGUGGAGGGUAGACAGAGAGCAAAUUUAUGAGGUUUUCUAAACUUGGUUGACAAUUGUGAAUGUAAUGAAGUUAUGGUAUUUGCAAGGCCUAGCAUACCUUUGGUUGCAUUGGACAGGCCUCUCAGCAGAUCUGAAUCUGCACAUGAGAAUGGAAAUGGUUUGGGCAAUUCGUACGUUAGCCCGACUGACAAUCCAUUGGUAUCUGACAUGUACAAGUUAUCCUCUCCGAGGCCUUGGGCAUACAGACCAUUAGUAUAUGGAUUGUAGGAGAAGACGGCGCAGGUAUUGUUGGUGCACCCUGGUCUGCUGGUAGGUAGAUUGCAGCCAACGCAACCACCGCUCUUUACAUUAUUACAUUUUGUAGAGCCGCAGCUGAUGGGCUUAUAGGUUGGUAAUUUGAAGGUGUCACAAUCGAACCAGGUGUGUUGGCCACCAAGAUCCACGACUACAUCUACAUAGUUGCUUCGUGUGGAAACUUCUAGUGAAGUGUAGUACUGAAGGGCUCUUGUGUCUUUCCUUACGGAAAAUAGAAAAGCCUUGGGUUUGAACUGGGCUGCAGCUGAAGAUAUUCCAACAGCAAAGAGAAAGAUAAUUAGGCUAUGGUGGAGUGAGGAAGACAUUGUUGUAGGUUGGUGUGUAAGAGAGUGCAAUUUAGACCAGCAUAUAUAGAGGUUUUCGAGAUCUGUCAAAGUUCAAAGCAAGUAGAUGAAUAAACAACAUACAUUGUUUAGUAUUUUCACACAUGGGGUAAAUGCGCUAGAUUUAUAUAGUCUAAGUUUUCAAACUUGUAUCAUAUUCCCGUUGAGAUUUACAUUAUCCUAAUUAUCAACUUGUAUCAUAUUCCCGUUGAGAGAAUUCAGCUCUAUCCAGACUUAAAAUGAACUACAUUGUCAGAAGUAAAUGAACAAGCACCAGUAAUUGCUGGAUUACUUGGAUUCCACAUUUUCUCCCGAGGUUUUCUUUUUUUUAUUUAAGAUUAUAACGUCGGUUACAGUAAAUUUAGAUAUCCACGCACACAUAUUUAUUUUCACCGAGGCUCAAAUCCUACUGUCCUCAUAUUGAUCAGACUGUGAUGCGGGAUUAUGAGUUAAGACAAUAACUUUGAACUCUUCUACUUGCUGAAAUGCCGCAAGGUUAUCUGAGAAGGAUCAACACAAUCGUCUUUAUUUUUCCUUAGAAGUAAUUCGAAGCUAAAAUGAUAGCUUCCGGACAUGCUUGACUUGUUUUUUUAAAUGUUCUUUGGAAGAUACACACACGAGGAAGAACCGAAAAGUGUUGAAUUAAGGGAAGCUAACUAGCUUUAUCAUCUGUAUUUCAUUAAGAUCGUAAGUUAUAUAGAAAAUAUUUAAUAUUCAAAAUGAUUAGUUCCUCGUGAAACAAAAAUUUGUUUACUUGCAAAAUUUUAAUCUAUCUUGAUUCUUAAUGCUCCCUGCUAAAUUUUUCCCGAAUUCGCUACAAUAUAAAUCUGUAAUUCUACAUGAGUUUCAUCCCAUACUCAUAUGAGCUAGCAAGAGUCUGAAGAACAUGUGACAUUUUAAUUUAUUCAAGAUUGUAUUGCUACUCUGUAUCUUUAGCUCAUGAAUCUACAAGACGCGGAACUGUUGGCAAGUUGUAUUGCGGAACAGAAGUGAAGUGCUAAUCACCAGCUUUGAGGAAACCAGAUCGAACUCGAUAAGAUAAUUCUCCAUUUGAUGCCCUCCAAUGACAACAGAAGUUCUUGGCUUGGACCCUCCAUCCACAAAUGCCAGGCACAACACAUCCUUCUUCAGCGAGACCAUAGAAUUAGCACCGUAAAAUCUCCAAUGCUGAUUGCCUGCCAGACCGAUAUCAAUGUAUGGCACAACAGGUCCUGUCUGGCUUGUCGCUACAGAACUAGCUCUGAAACACGCACUAAAUGGUGCGACAGAGGCCACUCUUUUCAUCUUCCUGAGUGAUGCAGCUUUCUUGAAAUCACCGACAAGGGCCUUAUAGAUGGAAGUCUCUAACUUGGUAUAAGGAGUCACCGUAGUGAAUUUAGUGCCUCCGUAGCCAUUCAUGUCAAUGGAUAGCAAAGAAGCAUUGACAGAGACAGGCCUGUUGUCAACACUAAUCGACGUAACAUCUAUGAAGUAUUCAUCCGAAUGGUCACCUUCGGUGUAUAUAGGGGCUGUGCUAACCGGAUUGAUGACAAGUUUUGUAGUGAGUAAUUGUGUAGCAAUGUUUUUAGUGUACGGUGGAAAAUAAUAUGGGCCGCCUCCAAUAAACAUGUGACCAGGGUUAAGCUCAGAAGUGGAGGGUAGGCACAGAGCAAAUUUAUGAGGUAACUUAAAUUUUGAUGACCACUGUGAAUGUAACGAAGUUACGGUAUUUGCAAGGCCUGUCAUGCCUUUGGUUGCAUUCGACAGGCCUCUCAAGAGAUCCGAAUCAGCACACGAGAAAGGAAAUGGUUUAGGCAAUUUGUGCAAUUCCCCGACUGCCAGGCCAUUGGUUUCUGUACUGAAUAAGUUGAUCUCUCCUAGGCCUUGCGCGUAAAGAUCAUUAGUGAAUGGAUUGUAGGAAGACACGCCGCAAGUAUUGUUAGUGCAGCCUGGUUUUGGAGGUAGAUUGCAUCCAAUGCAGCCGUUGCUCUUGACAUUGUUGCAUUUUGUAGUGCCACAGCUGAUGGGCUUAUAGGUUGGUAAGUCGUAUGAGUCACAGUCGAACCAGGUGUGUUCGCCACCAAGAUCCAGCACCACAUCUACAAAGUUGACUUGGGUGGAGAAUUCUAAGGUAGUGGAGUACUGAAGGGCUUCAGGGUCUUUUUUAAUGAAGUAGAGAAAAGCUUUGGGCUUGGCCUGGGCUGCGGCUGAAGAUAGUGCAACAGCCAAGAGAAGGAUAAGUAGAGUAUAGUGGAGUGCUGAAGACAUUGUUGUGUGUUGGUUUGGUAAGAAAAUGCAAUUUAGACCAGGAUAUAUAGAGACUUUCAUGAUUGUGUACAAAGUUGUUUAGUAUUAUUUACCUGCAUGGGGAAAGUAAGGGGGAGAUAUGCAAGAUCAGAUUUGGACAGUCCAUCAAUGAACCUUAUCCUAUUCUAAGUAUUGAAUUUGCUGUCCGUUUCAUUAUUUUAAGUUCCCACUUGUAUCAUAUUCCCGUUGAGGAAAUUCAGCUCUUUUCCAGAUUUAGGGGUUGUUUGGAUGCUAGAUGGGAAUGAGAAUCGGAAAUGUGAAUGAAUGGUAUGAGAAUGAGUAUCACGGGGAUGUGGAAGGAAUGAUUUACCUAUCAAGUGGGAAUGAGGUUCACAUUCCAUAUCACAAAAUGGCUAAUCCAAACACCAACACAUAUAUUUAAGGUGCCGAUUCCUAUUAAUCAGGUUCAUUAACCAAACGUCCCAUUAAUACGUCCCAUUAAUAAUGACUUCAGGCAACUUGUAUUCAUCUUUUCAAAUCUAAGAAAAUGACAAGAACAUGUUUGUUAGAUGCUGUCGAUGUUAAUAUUUGUCACCAGGAGCAGGUGAAUAAAGUAUUUACACACAUGGGGAAAAGUAAGGAUGGAGAUAACUUUUGAAUCAUAUUCCCGUUAAGAGCAUCACAGAACUCAGCUCUGUUCCAGACUUAAUGACUUGGAGUAGAAGUACAUGAAGUAAAUAAAUCAUGCAAUCUACCCAAUUUUAAUCACAUUGAACCUGAUGGUCAAGGAACUCUUAAUUCAUAUAGUAGUUUUCUAGUCGUUAACUAUGCAACAACUAUUCAACAUAUGAGAUCAAAAAUUCUGCUCUUCCAUACCGUAACAAAUUUUUUGUCGGAAGAUAUACCUCUUUCAGGUAACUUCUUUUCAUAUUUAAUUAUACGAAAAAAGAGGAAAAAAUAAACUGAUUUUGUUCUUAAAUUUAAACAAUGCUGAUUAUUGAGCAUUUGGGAAAAGACCGUCGUGCUAUGCAUAAUAAAUUAGAUGAAAAUAUUGGGAGACAAACUCUUAAUCUAAUAGUAGCAAGUGUAGCGUGAAGCCACUGCCAGAUCUUGAGCAAAUCUAGCAGGCCGAUGCAUAAAAAAUGCUACUCCAAUUGUACGGUACUACAUAUUUUACUACUCCACCUUGUCUUGAUACGUAAGGGUCGUUUGAAUUAGUUUAAAAGAAGUGACUUUUCUUUUAAAAUUAAAGAAGUGGAAUAAAAAAAAGAAGUAAAUAAGUUAAUAAAGUGUUUGGAAAAGAAGCAGAAGCUAUGAGAUAAAAGCUAGCAUUCUCAGCUUCUUAAGAGUGUUUCUGCUUAUUUAUACGAAGAAAAGCAGAAGUCAGGAAUAACUAAAGCUUCUCUCAACCAAACAGCCGCAACAUAAAAAGUAUUAAAGUAAAGGAUUCUACUGUUUAAUUACUGAAAACAUAGUGUUAGGAUUCUAUUUUGUUUUGAGGAAGACAGGCUCACAAUCGGUAAAAAUAUAUACCUUUAUAAGAUCAGGUAUGUUAUAUGUUUCAUCCCAUACUCAUGUGAGCUGGAAGAGUCCAAACAUGUGCAUUGUUAAAGAUUACAUAAGCUCAAAACUGAAAAUGAUCAAGCUUAUUUGUCACCCAGUCUGUCUCUUCAGCGCCCAAAUUUGAAUUCCUUCUGUCAUUUCUUAUUUUUCAAGUAGAUUACUUCAACGACCCAAAAUUCCUGAACCUUCUGCUCAUGAACAAAUGAAUCUGGUGUAUAUGAAAAAAAAUGAAUACUAGGAGGAAUAGAAACACAAUUUCUUGCCUUUAAACAAUUUGUAGUAAAAUGAUCGUGUCUUAUAUCAAGCAUAAACAAGUUGCAAGAGAAUAUUUUAUAUCGACGUUCUGAGAUUUCAGUAAAAUAUUGAGGCUCCACUGACGAAAUUCAACUUGUAAUCAAAUCGGAGUUUAAAUUGAACUUUAAAUAUCUUCAUUGUCAUCUCAGAGCCUCCUCAGCACUCAGCAUGCAAAGGUCACUUUCAACAAUGUUCAAUGGACUCUACUUUAUAUUCCAUUAAGGCUCGGUCUUGGUUGUGAUUAACACAUUCUCUAUUUACUGUUUAGAUCAGCUGUUAAGACAUGGCAAGUUGGACACUAGUAGUUUUAACAAAUCACAACAAAUUAUGGAUGACUAUGAGAAUAUCCUCCAAGAAAUUUACAAACAACGGCUGAUAGCCAGAUAUUAGAUAAAAACAAAGGCAGCUGGUUCAGAACAUACGUAUGUUAGUAACAUAUAUAUGCAUCAAAAACUUAGGAUCAACCUACUCACCGCUUUUUUUCCGCUGAACAUAUGCUACUAACAUACGUGUGUCAGGGACCUGGACCAAAAAACAUAUGCGUAAACUGCUAAUCAACAAUCCACAAAUCUCAACUACCUAAGUGGAGACUGGGAGCAGGUUGUGUUGUGAUAUAAAAGCGAAUUGCUGAUUCCAAGCUUUGAGGAAACAAGAUCAAACUCAAUAACAUAAUUCUCCAUCUGAUACCCUCCUAUGACUAUCGGAGUCCUUGGCUUUGAGCCUGCAUCCAAAAAUGCAAGGCACAUCACAUUCUUAUUAACCGCUACCAUUGUGUUUGCACCAUAGAAUCUCCAGUCAUGAUCAUUUCCUGCUAAGCCAAUAUCUAUAUACGGAACUAAAGGUCCUGUCUGACUUGUGGCGAUAGAUUUAGAGCUGAAACAUGCCCCGAAGGGCUCCACGGAUGCUACUCUUUUUAUCUUUCUCAGUGCUGCAGCUUUGUUAAAAUUAUCUACCAGAGCCUUGUAAAUGGAGGUCUCCAAUUUAGUAUAUGGAAUGAUUGUACUGAGUUUUGUCCCACCGUUGCCUUGUUUGUCGAUGGAUAGCAAGGAAGAGUUCACCGCAACAACCUUGUGAUCGACACUAAUAGAUUUGAUAUAUAUGAAGUACUCAUCUGAUGGGUCACCUUCUGUAUAUGCUGGAGCAGUACUUACAGGGUUAAUCACGAGUGGCGUGGUAGAUAAUUCUGUUGCUAUAUCUUUAUCAUAGGGAGGAUACAUGUAUUUUCCCCCACCGAUGAAGAUUUGGCCUAUUACAUAAUCAGAUGCAGAAGGCAUACAAAUAGCAAAUUUAUGAGGCAGAUUGAAUUGGGCUGACAUUUGUGUAUGCAACGAAGUUGUGGUAUUAGCUAGGCCUGACAUACCUGUGGUUGAGUUAGAUAAGCCUCUUAAAAGAUCUGAAUUAGCACAAGAAAAUAGAUAUGGCUGAGGAGAAUGGUAACUCAAUCCGAUGGAUAGGCCAUUGGUAGAAACAGAAUCAAUGUACAACGCGUCCUCCCCAAUGCCUUGGGCAUAAAGAUCAUUGGAGUACGGAUUGUAUGAGGCGACGCCACAAGUAUUGUUGGUGCACCCUGGUUUGCGAGGAAGAUUGCAACCAACACAUCCAAAGUUCUUAACAUUUCUACAUUUUCUAGAGCCACAUUUGAUGGGCCUGUAUGUUGGUAAAUCAGAGCCAUUGCCACAGUCGAACCAUGUGUGUUGGCCUCCAAGAUCGAUGACCAUGUUUUUAAAGUUAUGUGGGCUUGAAAAUUCUAUGGUAGUAUAGUACUGGUUUGUGUCGACGUCUUUCCUUAUGGGAAAAAGAAGUGAAGUGGGCUUUGGUUUUGUGGUCUGAGCAUCUGAAAAGGAGAACAAGAAGAGUAUUGCUAAGAAAAGUAAGAGGAGAUGAUAGCAAGUGCAAGAAGACAUUGUGAUGUAUGGAUUUGCAAGGUUCCAGACUGAGUGCAAACCAGUACAAAAUAUAUAGACACUCCGUUGUAUUGUAUUCCACUAUCGUCUAUUCUUACGUGGAAAACAGCAAAUCAAGUUCGAAGUUUCCUUGCUCAAAACUCUUGUUUAUUACUUGAGUGCAAGUAAUCAAGAUGGGUCCAACGAACCUCCUUAGCAGUCAGCACUCAGCAUGCAAAGUUUGUAUUCAACAAUGUCCAACGGACUCUCCUCUAUAAUGAAAGUUCAGUCUUGGUAGCACUAUAUAAUGUUUAAAUCAGUUCUUCAUACACAAGCAAGUUAAAUAUAUAAUAUUUGAUUCUGAGAAUAUCUUCUGCAGAAGAUUACAAACAAUGGAUUUUAGCUAAUGGAAAGUGGAGCCGGCACACUCCUGUCUACUUUCAUUUUGAAGACUUGCAACUUGCAAGAAAUAUAAUACUCUUUACUACCUGAGUGUAGACUAAGAGCAGGUUGUAUUGUAAAAUAAAAGUGAACUAAUCUCAAGCUUUGAGGAAACCAGAUCAAACUCAAGAACAUAGUUUUCCAUCUGAUACUCUCCUAUGACUAUCGACGUUUUUAGCUCUGACCACUCAACCCCUACACUUACAAAGGCAAGAGCAAGCACAUCCUUAUCAACCGGUACUAAUCUGCACCAUAUAUUCUCCAAUAAUUAUGGUUUCCCACUAAGAAAAUAUCUAUAUAUACGGCACUGCAGGUCCUGUUCGACUUUUGGAAAUAGUUUUAGAGAUAAAACAUGCUCCAAAUGGAGCCACAGGUGCUACUCUUUUCAUAUUUCUGAGUGCUGCAGUUUUGUUGAAACUAUAAAGAGCAUUGUAGAUGGAAGCCUCCAGUUUGGUAAAAGGAGUAACUGUACUGAGUUUAGUCCGUCAAUUUCCUUCGUUGAUGGUUAGCAAAGAAGAGUUGAAAGCAAGAAGCUUGUGAUCAACACUAAUAGAUUCAACAUUUAUAAAGUGCUCAUUGGAAGGAUCACCUUUCCAGUAGGUAGCAGCAAUACUUACAGGAUUCGUCACAAGUGGCGUGGUCAAUAGUUCUUUUGCUAUAUUUUACGAUAGGGUGGAUACAUAUACAUGCCUCCACCAAUAAAGAUUUGGCCUAGUAUAUAAUCAGAGGCAGAAGGCAUACAAAGUGCUAGUGACUGUUUUCUUUAACAUGAGUCAUCAAUAAUAAUUCAGGAAAAUGCUGCCUUUUUUGGCCUAAUAUAUCCAUGAAAGCUGUUUUGAACAUAAAAUUUAGGACAUCUACAUUUUUAUUCAUUAAGCAGAUAUAGAACUAGAAGAAAUUAUGACAGGACUGAUGUUCCUGUCAAAAUAACUUUCAUAAGAUGUACAACACACGAACAGUCAAAAAAAUUGACCCUACAUGAACCAAACAAUCUUAACAAAAUGCUUAGUGAUCAACAGAACCAACAAGUUUUCUUUUCCAAGCUCAAUAUCAGAGUCGAGACUGGGAGCAGGUUGUAUUCAUAAGCAAGAGUGAAGUGCUAAUCCCCAGCUUUGUUGAGUCGAUAUCAAACUCAAUGAGAAAAUUCUCCAAUUGAUACCCUCCAAUGGCAAUAGAUGUUUUCGGGUUUGGCUUGUACCCUGCAUCCACAAAGGCAAGGCACAUCACCUCCUUAUUUAGAGGAACCAUUGAAUUGCCACCAUAAAACCUCCACCGCUGGUUGUCUGGCAACGUAAGGUCUAUAAGCGGGACUACAGGUCCCGUUUGGCCUUUUGCAAUAGUUUGAGAACUGAAACAUGCUCCAAAUGGCGCCACAGAAGCUACUGUUUUCAUCUCUCUGAGUGCAGCAGCUUUCGUAAAAUCAUUUACCAGAGCCUUGAAUAUGGAAGUCUCCAAGUAGGUAAAAGGAGUAAUGGAACUGAUUUUAGUACCCCCUGCANNNNNNNNNNNNNNNNNNNNNNNNNNNNNNNNNNNNNNNNNNNNNNNNNNNNNNNNNNNNNNNNNNNNNNNNNNNNNNNNNNNNNNNNNNNNNNNNNNNNNNNNNNNNNNNNNNNNNNNNNNNNNNNNNNNNNNNNNNNNNNNNNNNNNNNNNNNNNNNNNNNNNNNNNNNNNNNNNNNNNNNNNNNNNNNNNNNNNNNNNNNNNNNNNNNNNNNNNNNNNNNNNNNNNNNNNNNNNNNNNNNNNNNNNNNNNNNNNNNNNNNNNNNNNNNNNNNNNNNNNNNNNNNNNNNNNNNNNNNNNNNNNNNNNNNNNNNNNNNNNNNNNNNNNNNNNNNNNNNNNNNNNNNNNNNNNNNNNNNNNNNNNNNNNNNNNNNNNNNNNNNNNNNNNNNNNNNNNNNNNNNNNNNNNNNNNNNNNNNNNNNNNNNNNNNNNNNNNNNNNNNNNNNNNNNNNNNNNNNNNNNNNNNNNNNNNNNNNNNNNNNNNNNNNNNNNNNNNNNNNNNNNNNNNNNNNNNNNNNNNNNNNNNNNNNNNNNNNNNNNNNNNNNNNNNNNNNNNNNNNNNNNNNNNNNNNNNNNNNNNNNNNNNNNNNNNNNNNNNNNNNUACCCUGCAUCCACAAAGGCAAGGCACAUCACCUCCUUAUUUAGAGGAACCAUUGAAUUGCCACCAUAAAACCUCCACCGCUGGUUGUCUGGCAACGUAAGGUCUAUAAGCGGGACUACAGGUCCCGUUUGGCCUUUUGCAAUAGUUUGAGAACUGAAACAUGCUCCAAAUGGCGCCACAGAAGCUACUGUUUUCAUCUCUCUGAGUGCAGCAGCUUUCGUAAAAUCAUUUACCAGAGCCUUGAAUAUGGAAGUCUCCAAGUAGGUAAAAGGAGUAAUGGAACUGAUUUUAGUACCCCCUGCACCUUCUUCAUCAAAGGAUAGCAGGGAAGAGUUAAACUCGACCGGCUUCCCAUCAACAACUAUAGACUUAACAUUUAUGAAGAAUU